UCGUUGAAGAAAGGUUAGACAGAUUUGUUUGCACAAAAGCUUGGAGUGACAGAUUUGUGGACUGUGAAGCAAGCAACCUGGACUUCGGAUCAUUGUCCCGUGUUGAUGGCUGUUCAAGUGAGAAGGGAGAGCAUGAACCAAAGGGGUAGACAUUCCUCGCGAAUCCAUUAUGAGGAUAUGUGGAGCUCGUAUGAUGUAUGCAAAGAAAUAAUUAAGGAGGAAUGGAGUUGGUUUAGAAACUGGAGCAGUGAAGAUCCAGCCCAAUCCUUUCGACAAGCAACAAAAGUUUCGAUGGGUAGGCUGUUGGGGUGGAGCAAGCUGGAGUUUAAAAAAGCGUGACAGAAAAUUAGAGAAGCUAAAGAAUCAGCUGCAGUAGUUAAAACAAAGAAGGGUGCAAUAUGAAAGUGGUGAGGAAAUUCGGAAGGUGGAGAAGCAAAUCCAAAAUAUUCUCAUGGAUGAAGAAAUCUACUGGAAGCAACGCUUAAGAGCAGAUUGGCUCAAGGAGGGGGACAAAAACACAAAAUUCUUCCACGGCAAAGCGACGGCAAGAAGAAAAAAAAAACAGAAUUUGGGGGAUUGAAGAUAAUUUCAGGAGAUGGAUUGAGAAGCCAAAAGAAGUAGAGCAUGAGUUUUGCAACUAUUUCACCAAUCUUUUUACAUCAACCCAGCCAAGCCAAGAUCAAAUUGCAGCAGCCUUGGAAGGAAUAACUCCGAGAGUUUCAGCUAGCAUGAAUGAGAGUUUGGGGGAGUCGUUUACAGCCGAGGAAGUCUUGGAAGCUUUGAGUCAAAUGUGCCCAACGAAGGCUCCGGGGCCGGAUGGUUUGCCAGCAGUGUUUUACCAAAAGCAUUGGCAUACGGUUAAGGAGGGAGUGCUCACCACUUUUCUGCAUAUCCUCAAUUCACAAGGUACCAUAGGCCCUCUAAACCACACUUACAUUGCUUUGAUACCAAAAAUCGGAAAGCCUAGGAAAGUGACAGACUUUAGGCCUAUUAGUUUGUGCAAUGUUAUCUAUAGAAUUGUAGCUAAAACAGUUGCUAAUAGAUUUAAGCAAAUUUUGCACAAAAUCAUCUCUUCGUCGCAAAGUGCCUUCAUCCCCAAUAGGUUGAUCACUGACAACAUCAUAGUUGGCUACGAAUGUUUGCACAAGAUAAGGCAUUGUAAAGGCAAGCGAAAUGGAUUAAUUGCAUUAAAGCUUGAUGUUAGUAAAUCUUAUGACAGAUUGGAAUGGAAUUUUUUAGAGCAAACUUUGAAAAAACUAGGCUUCUCGCAUCAAUGGAUUAGCUUGAUCAUGAGGUGCAUUAGUUCGGUUUCAUUUUCUGUGUUAAUAAAUGGCUCAGUGAAAGGCUUAAUUAAACCCAAAAGGGGCUUAAGACAAGGUUGCCCCCUCUCUCUGUAUUUGUUUAUUACAUGUGCAGAGGCUUUUUCCUCAUUGCUGCAGCAGGCUGAGCAACAACGACUUAUUCAUGGGCUAUCAUUUGGAAACGAUUUGAAGAUUUCGCACCUUUUAUUUGCUGAUGACAGCCUUGUCUUCAGCAGAGCUUCCAUGGCCGACUGUCAAAAUUUGAAGAUGAUCCUUGAGCGCUACUCCACAGCUUCCGGUCAAAUUUUUAAUUUCGAGAAAUCUUCUCUUUUUCUCAGUGGCAACGUACAUCAAGAUCAAGCUGAGGCAAUUGGGAAUCUCUUUCAGCUCAAUAUUGUGUCGAGACAUGAAAAAUACUUAGGCUUGCCAUCUAUGAUCGGGAGAAAGAGGAGCAGUUUUUUCAGUGACAUCAAGCUGAAGGUUUUCAAUAAGAUCUCAAGCUGGCAGCAUAAAUUUUUUUCUUGCGGAGGGAAAGAAGUCUUAAUCAAAGCGGCUGUUCAAGCCAUCCCAGCCUACGCAAUGAGCGUUUUUAAAAUUCCGAUGGGUGUUUGUGAUGAUAUUAAAAAAAUGGUGGCAAAGUUUUGGUGGGGCUCCAAGAGGGAAGGGAGGAAUAUUCACUGGGCGAAGUGGGAAAAGAUGAGUCAAGCUAAGUGUAAUGGAGGGAUGGGAUUUCGUGAUUUUUCAAGUUUUAACCGAGCCCUUCUAGCAAAGCAAGGCUGGAGGAUUCAGCACUGUCCAGACUCGCUGGUGGCAAGGGUCCUGCAAGCCAAGUAUUUCCAGUCAAAAAAUUUCUUGGAUGCAAAGCUCGGCUCAAACCCUUCAUAUAUUUGGAGAAGCAUUCUGUGGGGAAGGAAAGUAAUUUGCUCGGGCUCUAGGUGGAGAGUUAGCAAUGGUCAGAAAAUUCAUAUUCAUAAGGCUAAUUGGAUCCCACGGCCUUCCACAUUCCAACCAGUGGUUAAGCCAACUUUGCCUUCUGAUGCUAUGGUCUCUGAAUUAAUCAAUGAGGCAAACUGCUGGGAUAAGAAGAGGAUUUAUGAGCAUUUCGACAAAAUGGAUGCUGAUUUAAUUACUAAGAUUCCUCUGCCUCGAAGACCAAGGGAGGAUGAGCUGAUUUGGCAUUAUGAAAAAAAUGGCCAGUUCUCGGUUAAAAGUGGGUACCAAACAGCUCUCCAAAUAAAGUUUCCAGCCAUGCCUUCAAGCUUAGUGGUUUCCAAAAAUGAGUGGAAUAUUAUUUGGUCCCUUGCUUUGCCUCAAAAGAUCAAAAUUUUUGCCUGGAGAGCAGACAAAAACCAACUCCCCUCAGCUGAGAAUCUGUGGAAGAAAAAGAUAAUCCAGGAACCCACUUGCCAAGUGUGUGAAAUGGGAACGAAAAAUGCUUUUCAUGCUCUUGUGGCCUGCAAAUCGGCUGAGAAGGUAUGGAAGCUAAUCCAUUUUGAAGAUGAUAUUCAUGCAGCUCACAAUCAAGAUAUUUUAAGUUUGCUGCAUGCUAUGAAAAGAAUGAGAAGCAGAGCUGACCUGGAGCUGUUGGCAACAAUUUUUUGGGUAAAAUGGAAUGCUAGGAAUCAGUUGCUUUUCAAAGGAAAAAGGGAGAACCCCCAGAUUAUGGUAGCUAAAGUUGAAGCUAUGAUUGCAGCUUAUAAGAGGGUGCAUUCUCCAGCUGAGGCUUGCAGUGAAACAGAGCAGAGUGUACCUUCCCAGACAUGGAAUCCCUCUCAAGAUGGCUUCAUAAAAGUAAACAUUGAUGCAGCUAUCAGCUUCGAAAAGAACAUUGUAGGGCUGGGGGCAGUGAUCAGAGAUGAUUCGGGGCAUGUUACAGCAGUUGCUAUCAAGGUUUCUAAGUUUCAUGGAGAUGUUUCUUAUGCGGAAGCAGAAGCUAUGGAAUGGGGUAUGUUAGUGGCGAGAGAAGCAAAAGUGAAAGCUGUAAUUGUGGAAUCAGAUUCUCAAAGUGUGGUCAGUUUAGUUAACAACAAGCAGGGCAGCAGAUCCGAGAUCUAUUGGGUUGUUUCAGAAAUUCAGAAGGUAGCGGAAAACUUCGAACGUGUUAGUAUUAAGUAUACGCCUAGAUCUUGUAAUGUUAUUGCCCACUCUUUAGCUAAGUUAGCUUUAGAGAAGUGCGAGACUGUUGUGUGGAAGGGUUCAUACCCUUUACAAGUGAUGUAUCUCCUUUCAUCGUUGAUUUAAUUGAAAUCUCUUUUCAAAAAAAAAAAAAAAAAAAAGACACUCCAAAAAAAACUCCAAAGUCCAACAACAACAUUUUACAAUCUCUCUCAAUUUUUCUCGCUUCAGUUUACCAUCCUCGAACACGAACACGAACACGAACAUGAAUUAAGUUAAUUAGUUUAUGGAACACAAACUCAUCAUCAACAUCAUGUCCUAAUUGAAAAAGAAGGAUUGCGAGGGAAACUAAGCAUGUGCCUUCAUUUUCACUUGAAAUAAAGCGCGAUGGAAAGAUCUUAUGUUAUCACAUGAUGCCGUGUGAUCACCUAGAAGCCCUUCCACGCACAUUUCUUCUCAAAUUGUCUUCUUCUAAUUUCUUGGGUCACCGCGAAACCACAAUGUCAAUGCGAGGAUGAGCGAGUGUUGUUCAGCUUGUAGUUUUUGGAGCCGGUCCUGGGCUUUCUUUAUUUUUUUCAUCUUCUGCUGGUAGGCAUCGCCAAAAGGCAAAGAGAAUCCUCUGGUGUUCGUGGAGUUGGUCCUCGAUGCGAUUGAUUUCUUCUCCAAGUUGAGCAAGCCUUUGUGCCAUAGCCAUCAUUAUUUGCUUUCGAUCGAGCACUUUUCAUCUGCAACCAAAUGUUUCAUCAAUAUUUUGAAGUAUACACACUUGUUUCAACAGCUAUCCGGAUCACGUUAAAAGACAAUUUUGCCCUCACUUAAAGUGUAAAAUCACUAAAAAAGCCACAACAGUAGUUUCAAAUUCCAAUUGACUUGGGUGGAUAUUAAAAUUUCUUAAAGGUUAAAAAAAAAGUAAAAAUGUUUUGUUAUGGGAAUUGAAAUAUCCCCUAUAUCUUCAUCCAUAAUCGUCUAUCCAUGAUAACAAUUUAAUAAACUUGAAAAAGCAAGAUAUCCAAUCCCAGUGAAUCAAACAGCCAAUUUUCUUCAUAAAGUUUAGCUUUUGCUUUUAAAAAUUUUAACUCUUGAGACCUUAAAUAAACUCAUAUUCAAAUUUACAUUUUCUAUAAUGAAAAUCUUCAAUUUACCCUUUUAAUAUUUUGAAAAACGGGUCCAGCUACAAUACAAUUGUAGUUUCAUACCUAUUUUUUUGUCUUUUUGUGAUCCAACCAUUGGAUCCAACCUAAGAGUUGCAAAGUCUAUUCCAACAACUUGGAUGUUAUUAUUUGGUUAUCAACAAUAUGGUCCCUUAUGUUUACUAAAAGAAUAAGAAAAAAUUAAAUUUCAAAAUUUUGACACAUUGGUCCGUUAAAAUAUUUUAUUAUCAAAGGUAAUUUAGUAAAUGAACAUAUUUAUAUAUUAAAAACAUGGAUGAAUUAUUUUAACUUGCUAAAAUACUCUCAAAUUCCAUUUACUUAAAAUACGAAUUAGAUUUAAUAAUACUAUUUUGUAUUUAGUGUAACACAAAAUUAGACAAGUUUUUAUAUAAAUUUUGACAAUAUUAAAAUGAAAAAUAAAUAAAUAUUAAACAAAUGCUUGGAUAGUCAUUUAAAUUCAUUAUAGAGCUUAUAAAUAAUAUUUUCAAAAUAAUAAAUUUCUAUAUGUAAAUUUGAAAUUAUGUAAAAUUACUUAGACUUUAUCACACAUAUGAAGCUGAUCAAUUAUUUAUUUGAUCUGAAAAUAAAUUAAUUGUAUAAUAUUUAUUCUAUUACUUAAAUUUAAAAUUUGUUGAGAAGGAGAUAGAGAGAAUAUUUUUUUUAGAAUUUUAAAUUAUUAUAUUUUAAUUGGGUUUAUUACAUAAAAUUAAGUUUUUAUUAUUUGCAUAAAACAAUAGGAAUUGUUGAAGAAAAUGCCAAAUAAAUUUUUUAGAAUUUUGAAAUUAUUAUAUUUUAAUUGGGGCUUAUUGUAUAAAAUUUUUAAAACUUAUAAUUUUUAUUAUUUACAGAAAACUACAGGGACUGCUAAAGAAAAUAUCAAAAUAGUGUUUGGUACAACGGGGUAAGAUAGUUUUGCUCUUGAAAAACAUUAAUUUACUUCUAUUUAUCAGUCAAAAGACUAAAAUAAAUGGAGAUAUGAUGAUGAUAAACUUUUUAACUUUUUAGUGGUAUUUGAUAAAUAUAAAUAAAUUGAAAAUUCUCGCUUUUACUUUUUAUUGGGCAUAAGUUAAAAAUCUUACUCUCUAUUUAUUAUGCUUUAACAAGAGAAAGAAAGAAAACGGAAAACAAAUCUCUUCUAUAGCAGUCUUAAAAAAAUUUUCAGCUGAGACUUAACCCAUAAAUUUUUAAAAACUUUUUGGUGGAUUCAUAUACAUUGAACUAGUCUUCUUUCUAUAUUACAUGGAUUAAAUUUUGAAAUUAGGGCAACCUAUUGUUAAAUCUGCCUUUCAAAUUAUUGACUUAAUAUUGCCCAAAAAAAAAAAAAAAAAUUUUCCUAUUACAGAAUUUUUCAUUGUUGCAGGAAACUGGAGUCGCAGCUGACAGUGCUCAAGGGCAAUCCUUAAAUUAAAUUUCAUUGCAAUCUUUGAAAUUUAAAUUAUUUGAGAAAAAAAAAAUCUUUGCAUAAUAUUGAACAACGCAUUUUCUUGUAUAAUAUCAAUGAAACAAUGCAUGUGAGGGGAAUAAAAAGAAUAAGACAGUAAUUAGCACUAUUUCAAGCAAAGAAAUCUGGGCACUAAUAUAUUUUCUCUGUUACUUUGCAAAAUUACUGCAUGUACAUGAGAUGAUUGCUUGCUACUGUAGUAUUGUGUAAGGUGAAACAUUUGAAGAAGAAUCCUUCUAAACUGGUAGUGUUGGUCGUUGUUGUCCUGCCGAGGAAGUGUCAUUAGAUUGAAACCUACUGCAAAUAUUGAUACAAAAUGGCUUCAAGGUUUCGUUGUAGAGCUGACGACAAGCUUCUGUAAGCAGCGCCCCAUAUUGAUGCACAACAAUGAUAAUGGACGAGCAAAGCCAUGCAGUGUACAAUAUGAUAUGACCAAUAUCAGAGCGUGGAACAAAUGUGGAGGCUAGCGAGACUGCAGAAACAGAUCCGGAGACUCGUGCUACAAGGGCCCAAGAUUGGGAAGAAUUCUCUUGAUGAGCUAAAUGUGCAUAACAAUAAAUGGCUGUGGUUAUGAGAAAAGACCAUAUAUUUGUUGUGUGUGUUUCAAGCAAGCGCUCAGUUGUGCCUUGCGUAUUUGCUCCCACGAUGCCGAUGAGAGCUGGAAUGAGAUAUCCAAACACGUUAUGGUAUGCGUUUGACAUCGCAGAUAAAUAAAAUUUGUUCCUGCAGAACCAUUAAAAUACUAUAUUAAGGAAAGUAUUAGAUCCAUUCCUUUAGAAAAACAGGAAUUUAAGAGAUCAUUAUGUAUUUAGUCUCAUUUAAUAUUAGUUUAAUUUUUUCAAGUCAUAGUUAUUGUGAAAAAAAAAUUAUUAAAUACUUUUAUUGAUUGGUAAGGAUUUAAAAAGGAAAUUUGGGAUUUUUUUUUUGUUUUCUUGUGAACAUUGACGGUAUAUAUGUAGGGUAAAGUUUUAUUUUUAAAUACACGUUGUGGCUCAGGUCAGAGAGAGAAGGGAGACGGUCAAGAUUGCUGGGUUGACUUUCUUUUCCCGUCAGCCAUUUUGUAAUAGAUUGAUCAGAGCAAUCAUUACCUGCAAAACUUAACACAGCACCAAAUUAACAACCAACAUUUCAAUUGAAACAAAUCUACUUGAAAAUAAAAGAAAAAGCAACUCCAAAUCAAAAUCGAAAUGAAACCUUAUCAGAGAGACAGCCGCAAGUAUGAAGAGACAAGCACGAUCCUGAAGGACUAUUACUCCAAAUCAAAAUCGAAUUAUAAGAGAGAAAGCCGCAAGUACGAAGAGAGAAGCGCGAUCCUAAAAGAUCUGAAGUCGUGUUGUAUAUAUGUCUUGUAUAGAUUGACAGAGCAAUCAAAGGCCGUGUCGACCAGAGCAAUCGAAGAGUAGAAGAGAUAAGAGAGGAAAAAAGAAGAAGAGGAGAACUGCAGCAGCAAAUGAGCAAGGGCAGUAUUUAUAGGACAAACUGAGGCCUAUAAAGGGUCCACUAGUGGACCAGAGCAAUCAAAUGUGGAUUUGAGACUAAAUAUCGACGAAGCUUUUGUGUAUAUAUUGUUUUCGUGAACUUCUCAUCUUUUAUUUAAUUGAAUUGAUAAAGGUAAUGCGAUGGAGUUGGAGUUUUACAAAGUAACUCCAAAUUUUACAAAGUAACAUCGAUAAAGUAGUAACAUCGAUAAAGUAACAUCGAUAAAGUAAUAUUGUAAGUAAGGAAAAAAGCCAAUAUUUUCCAUGUUAGGAACAUCGAUAAAGUAGUAUCAUGAUCUUCAAAUUCAAUAAUUCGGUACUGGAUUUUUUAAUAGCUGAUGGUGGUGGAAUUUCUGCAUGAAAAAGGUAGGAUAUAAACCAGAAAAAUCAAUAAAGCAUGUCAUGCAUGUUACAUUGCUACUCCAAGCGAGUAAAUUUUUCUACAUCGGAUAUGACUUGUUACGAUCAAGUUAAUAAAAGUUCAAAUCAAGAAAGAAAUCUCGACGUAGACUAUGUCGUGGACAGCGGGACACGUAUGAUGAAUCAGAUGCUGGUUACUCUUCAUAUAGUUCCUGUACAACAUAAUGAUUACUUACAAUAUUACUUUAUCGAUGUUACUUUAUCGAUGUUACUACUUUAUCGAUGUUACUUACUUUAUCGAUGUUACUACUUUAUCGAUGUUACUUUUCAAGUAGAUUUGUUUCAAUUGAAAUGUUGGUUGUUAAUUUGGUGUUGUGUUAAGUUUUGCAGGUAAUGAUUGCUCUGAUCAAUCUAUUACAAAAUGGCUGACGGGAAAAGAAAGUCAACCCAGCAAUCUUGACCGUCUCCCUUCUCUCUCUGAACUGAGCCACAACGUGUAUUUAAAAAUAAAACUUUACCCUACAUAUAUACCGUCAAUGUUCACAAGAAAACAAAAAAAAAAUCCCAAAUUUCCUUUUUAAAUUCUUACCAAUCAAUAAAAGUAUUUGAUAAUUAUUUUUUUUCACAAUAACUAUGACUCGAAAAAAUUAAACUAAUAUUAAAUGAGACUAAAUACAUAAUGAUCUCUUAAAUUCCUGUUUUUCUAAAGGAAUGGAUCUAAUACUUUCCGUAAUAUAGUAUUUUAAUGGUUCUGCAAGAACAAAUUUUAUUUAUCUGCGAUGUCAAACGCAUACCAUAACGUGUUUGGAUAUCUCAUUCCAGCUCUCAUCGGCAUUGUGGGAGCAAAUAUGCAAGGCACAAAUGAGCGCUUGCUUGAAACACACACAACAAAUAUAUGGUCUUUUCUCAUAACCACAGCCAUUUAUUGUUAUGCACAUUUAGCUCAUCAAGAGAAUUCUUCCCAAUCUUGGGCCCUUGUAGCACGAGUCUCCGGAUCUGUUUCUGCAGUCUCCUUGAUCUCCACAUUUGUUCCACGCUCUGAUAUUGGUCAUAUCAUAUUGUACACUGCAUGGCUUUGCUCGUCCAUUAUCAUUGUUGUGCAUCAAUAUGGGGCGCGGUUUACAGAAGCUUGUCGUCAGCUCUACAAUGAAACCUUGAAGCCAUUUUGCAGUCAGCUCUAUAACGAAACCUUGAAGCCAUUUUGUAUCAAUAUUUGCAGUAGGUUUCAAUCUAAUGACACUUCCUCGGCAGGACAACAACGACCAACACUACCAGUUUAGAAGGAUUCUUCUUCAAAUGUUUCACCUUACACAGUACUACAGUAGCAAGCAAUCAUCUCAUGUACACGCAGUAAUUUUGAAAAGUAACAGAGAAAUCAUAUUAGUGUCCAGAUUUCUUUGCUUGAAAUAGUGCUAAUUACUGUCUUAUUCUUUUUAUUCCCCUCACAUGCAUUGUUUCAUUGAUAUUAUACAAGAAAAUGCGUUGUUCAAUAUUAUGCAAAGAUUUUUUUUUUCUCAAAUAAUUUAAAUUUCAAAGAUUGCAAUGAAAUUUAAUUUAAGGAUUGCCCUUGAGCACUGUCAGCUGCGACUCCAGCUUCCUGCAACAAUGAAAAAUUCUGUAAUAGGUAAAAAGUCUCUUUUUUGGCAAUAUUAAGUCAAUAAUUUGAAAGGCAGAUGUAACAACAGGUUGGCCUAAUUUCAAAAUUUAAUCCAUGUAAUAUAGAAAGAAGACUAGUUCAAUGUAUAUGAAUCCACCAAAAAGUUAUUAAAAAUUUAGGAUUUAACACUUGGAAAUGGCAAUUAGGUACUACCUCAAGAGAUUUUACAGCUUGAACCAACCAAGGGGGUAUGUUUGCAAUUGCUGUGACUAAGUAUAAAUAGAUGGUUGGUCAGUGGUAAGAACCAGCCUUCUAGCAUCUUUAGGCACAAAGAACUCAAGAAAAAACCCCACAUGAGACACAAGACCCAAUGCUCAGCAUGCAGCAAGCUUAUCUAGAUUCAGGUGCUUUAAGAAUCAAAUUCACAUUACAUGAAAAGUUCACUAUUCAGAAUGGCACUCUGUAUGACAGCAAAGAGAUAAGUGGAAGAAAAAAAAUCUGAAAAUCAACAUACCUUUUUCUUUGUGAUUAGGUAGUCGAACCCCACUAACUCGCUUAUUUCAAGCAGCCAGGUCAGCUCAACACGGUCGUCUUGUAUCCUUCAAGAUGCACAACCCUUGUGAAAUUUCCAUCCUGGUUCCUACUAAUUUGCUCCACAAUUGCAUUCCCAAUCUAUUUAUGUGAAUCGUAUUUCCAGAGAUCAACUCGGCAUUGGCAAGGUCCAUCCAUAUUGUUUUUGCAUAUGUUGUAGCUUUCACUCCUACACCUUUACGCGUCUUAUGCCUCAGUUUGAUGCGAACUCAUGGUUUGUCAAGGCCAUUGGUAAGAGUCAGUCAGUCAGCAAUAGUAAUAUCUGCCUUUCUUCAAUCACAGCAGCGAGUAUAGGGCACGCAGGAUUAAUAAUCUUCUUAUUAAUAUAGUAGUUCAAAGUUUGUCACAUUCCAAAUGGUUGAGACUGUUUGAAGCCACCAGAAAAAGUAAAUAUACAAAAGUCAGUCUUCCACUUAACUGAUAGCAAAUACUAUAUGAAAUAUGAAAAAUUACUUCAGCUACAUUGUCUUACCAGUUCAAGGAUAAACUGCAACAGAGAUUCAAUUUUCAGUCUCCUACGAAUAAUUCUUUGGAGGGCCAAAAAAAGAGGAUUAUCUAAUCCAUUAUGUACAAACCACAAAAGCUUGCUGAGAGGCAUAUUACACCAUUUUCAACCAGUUAAACUCAUAAAUUUGAACCUUUAUACUCUCAUAUCCUCUUGAACCAUAUGGUAUUGGGCAUUACGAGCAUUGUACUCACCAGAUCUCAAACUAAAAGACAUGAAAGUUAAUCCAUAAGGUAGGUAUAUCUUGUAAUUUGACCUGAUUUGAUCGUGGGAUCUGGGCUGCAACAACUGGACGGGAUCUCAAAGGGACUUGCUGGAAUCUUGCAUGUUCAACUUCCUGCUACGACACCACUAUUAACAUCCCAAUUUUCUUAUGAAAACACACGGAGAUAAUAGAAUGAUAUCUCAAUGCUUCAAGCCAUUCACAAACAUUUUCCAUGUAAUUGGUUGCAAUAUCAGACGAGCUUAAUCCUGCCACCAAUAAUCUGCUUCACCUUGAAGCACGAAUAAGGCAAACACGCUAUCCUCCACUCGUCAUUCGGCCUCAACAGAUCACUGGGGGAAGGUUAAAGCUCGUGUGAUGAGUUGUUAAAGGGAAAAUACCCAUUUUGAUAAAUAUGCCAAGAAGAAAUCACUACAGUCAAAGGGUAUAAAUAUCCUAAUACAAGUCUAUGUGAUCAUUUCUAAAACCACGCAAAGAAGUCGGUGUCCUUUCCCCACAACAAUAAAUAGAAAUCACCAUACUUCCAUGAUUAUCCAAAGAGCGCGAACCCUGCCACAUCAUAAAAACUAUUAUAAAUCUAUUUACAGAAUUUCACCAAAUCAAGAAUAAACUUGACUGAAAGGAGGCAUCGUGUGAUAUUUGCAUCCCCACAAUUUCUUAUCAGAUUCGAUUCAUAAAACAAAUAGGAACACAUAUAAAAUUCAAAUAAAAUUCUUUCAAAAAAAAUUUCAGUGCAGUGGAAUUGAAUUAAUCUGAAGGAAAAAAAAAUGGUUGGUAUGUGGAAAUUAUACUUGAAACGUUGUCGUUUUUGGCAUAAUUGCUGUGAUAUAUUUAUUUGUUUGUGUUUUUAUUUCUUUUUUCUGGGUUUUAGGGUCACAAUCGGAGAGAGAAGACAAGGUCUCGUUGGAACUCUCUGAAGAAGUUCUUCAGAGCAUGGAAAUGGGCAUUUCUUUUAGAGAUUAUGUAAGAGAAUCUUCUAAUAAGUUUCUGUCUGAGGAACAUACUUGAUUUGCGUUUUAAAUGUAUCUGUUUGUUAAUUCAGUGUCGUUUUGUAUUGAUUCGUACUGUAACAGAAUGGGAGAAUUAUUAGUUCCUUGGAUCUUCAUAAAUCAUCGAGUUAUUUGGUGACGGCUAGUGAUGAUGAAUCUAUACGGCUGUACGAUGUCUCUGCUGCCACGUAAGUUGAUCCUCUGUUUCUUAGGAUUUUAUGUUGUCUCUUGGGAAGUGCUUUUAACUAAGAAAUGGCUUUUGAAUAAGCAUAAAAAGCUGGUUUCAAUCUUGCAAUGUUUGUUUGAAAUUGCAGGAAUAAUAAAGUGUCUUUUGAAAUCAAAGGAACCCUUGAAGUGUUUUUCUGGGGAAGUGCUUGAUAUCUGCUUUCAUGGAUAGAACUUUUUGGAUUAGGAAACCACUUGUAGUGCUGUUUGAAGAAGUGCUUCAUAUAUGUUUCAAAGUGAUUUUACUCGAGGGUACUUUCCAUUAAAGCACUGCUGAACGUAUCCUCUGCGUGUUUGAUGAGCUCAUGAAAGCUACUGUCUUUCUAAGAUGGAGAAAAAUGCUUUUUAGAUGAAACAGAAAAAAAAAAAAAGGAGAACCUUGGAGUGGUUUUCAGGGAGGUGCUUAAGGGAAAUGUAAUUGAUAUAUUUUUCAAGAACUUUUGUAAAAGGGCCUUUUCUUUUUCUUUUUUGUUUUGUUUGCAUAAGCUCUUUCUAUAAGAGCACUGCCAAAUGCACUUCAGUUGUCUUAGCUGAGCUCAUGAUAGUUGGUAUUGCAAUUGUUGCUGAGAGCCUUAAUUGAAAUUUCAGAUGUUUGAAGACAAUUAACAGCAAAAAAUAUGGGAAUAUUUGUGUUUUGUUUGUUGGUGGAUUGCUUUACUAGGCACUUAUUUGAUACGUUCAUUUAUUCAGAAUCUCUACGGCUUCUUUCCUCGCACGAUAACAAGUACUUGCGUUACUUCAAAGGUCAUCAUAACAGGUUUGUAAUUCACUUAUUCUUGUAAAUAUUUCGUAAUUAUUAUUAUCUGUAUUAUGUUUUACUGCUUCUAGGGUUGUUUCACUUAGCCUGUGCUCCUCCAAAGAUUGCUUUAUCUCUGGUUCUCUUGGUCAAUCUGUUCUGCUCUGGGAUCAACGGGCUGAGAAAUGCUAGGUGGAUAUCAUGCCAUCCACCAUUUUCAAUUGUAUUUAUGAUCUCUGUUGGCAAAUACGGGUCUUUUGCGUGUUCAAGGAAGGCCUGCUACAGCAUAUGAUGAUCAAGGGCCUGUCUUUGCAGUUGCCUUUGGAGGAUACAUAAGAAUGUUUGAUGCUCGUAAGUAGGAGAAGGUUAAAAUUAAUAUUUAAGAACAUCUUGGAAGUUUAUAUGUCGUACUUUUAUCAUGCACUAAUUUGGUUAAAUUUGGAUACAUCUUCUCUGAUGGUGGAGAUGUAUCAGAUUCUGAUGCUGUAAAGUUCAGCAAUGAUGGGAGACUUAUGCUUCCGGCCUCUAUGGAAGGACAUAUUCAUGUGCUUGACUCAUUCCAAGGCACACUUGUGAGUUGACUUUUUCUUUCUUCAUCUCCCAAAUGUAACAUAUUGUACGUAUAUACCCCUCUAUACACUGGAAUCUCUGUUAAUGAGCUUCUGUUUACUCUUGUUUUUAUUUAUCCACUUAUGAUGCCAAGCCAGUUUCUCGCAAUUCCACAUUGGAGGCAUCUUUCAGCCCGGUAGAGUUUCUCCUUUCAGUUCUUAGGGCACGGUGACUUGGAUAUUUUGUUAAUAUUUGCUUUUGACUGUUUUGAUAAUUUAUAUUAAAGUUCUUGCACUUGUGCUGUAUAUAAUUCUCAAAUUUGUUACCACCUUGUUGGUAUAUUGAAAUACACGACUUGAAAUGCUGGGCAUCAAGCUUGUUUCCGCAGAAUUCUUUGAAAUAAAUUCAUUUUCUCUUCUUCAUUGACUUGGUUUGAAACCCACUCCCAUCCAUGCAAAUCCAAAUGCGUACGUAUUUUCAUCUGGUUGUGCUUAUUAAUGAAAAUAAAUCAAUGAAAUGCUCAAACAGCAAGUGCACCCACACAUGUGGAAGCAGCCUAGUGUGGCCAAGCACCUCUCAUUCGUUUUAUGUGAUACAAUUGGUUUGUUGCACUCUUUGUGCUAAUUUUACUUUCUCGGUUUGGAAGGUUCUGAUGAUGGCAGUGGAUAUGCUUGGACUGUACGGAGCGGGAAAGGGGUAUGAUAAGCAAAAUUCCUUGAUUCUCAUGCCUUUUGAAUGCUUAAAAUUCAAAGGGAUGUUAUUUCCCUUACAUUGACCCCAGUCAUAGCAUUCAUUGUCUUCUAGCCAAACCAACAAUGCUUUUGAAUCUACAUUUGAGCAUUUACCUUAAGCACCAGUUUGCAUAAUGAGUUCUGUAUCCAAAUACUAUAUUCUUUUGACAUUGGUAUUGUUAUUAUAUAAACAUUGUUUGGUUUUGUUUAUUUUUCUUGUCAGGGGUGCAAGUUGGAUGAGUUUUCAUAGAGAGCCUCCUGUCAUAAAAUGGGCCCCCGGAAGUCUCAUAUUUGUUACGGGGUCAUCUGAGCUAUCAUUUUGGAAUCCUAAUGUGUCUAAACUAGGAGCUUACGUUGGGAGGAAGUAAAGUUUCUAACACUCAGCACCCUUAAGUAUCUGAAUAUUGAUGUCUAUCUAUUGCCGGGAGGGGAACUUGUUUGUAAGGAGAUGUUCAAUUUCCUAUAGUAGUAUGUAAAUGCAUCUGACUUCCCUGCUAGUAACCUUUCCUAACAAGUUCUGAAGAAACAACAGUAGAUCUGGUAUCAGUACUUAUUCAGAAGAGCAUUUCUUCUUACAUGCACAGCUAAGAGUACAUGAAUUGAGCUACUGAAGCCCUUCCUGACCAACCUGGCUAAGGCUCCUUUCAGUUUGUCCUCUUCAUGGUUCUUUGGCAGGCAACAGCGUAAGCAAUUACCUGGACUAUGAGGCCUUUUGUAGCGGGGUGGGCACUGCCUAGGCAGUUUUUGAAAAAACUAGGAGCUUUAUUUGUCAUUGACAUUUGUAGCACGAUUAGUUAUUACCUGGAUUAAGUUGUAUAUAUUACAUCGUAUACCUAAUCUGACAAAUAACAGGUUGCAAUCCAAGUUUUGUUGAUCAUGAAGGGUUUGAGCAUGAUAGUCCAUUUAGGUCAUUAGGUCUCCCUCGAAUUGCCACGUACACACUUCAAUCCUCUCAACGAGCGUCCCCGCAACGUCACACUCCACAUAAUCUCAAAUAAUUUAAAACAAUUAUAUACUUCUGGCUGCUCUUAUCUCCCUUCUCACCAACCGAGUCACUGGUUGGUUACAUUUUACUAACACCGCCGAAUGAGAGAUCAUAAUCCCUAUUACGUGUCCACCCUAACUGAUCACAACAUUGUCAUUUUUGAUCAUUCACAAAGAGAUUAAUUAACUCGGCAUGAUCUGCAAGGUCUGUCCCAAUUGUGUUUGUGUAUAUAUAUUUUAGCUUUCUCUCCUACACCCAGGCUUUAUGCCUCUCGUGCCUCAGUUUGAUGUGAAGAAAUGGUCCAUCAAGGCCAUUGGUAAUAGUCAGCAAUAGCAAUAUUGCCUUUCUUCAACCACAGCAAUGUUUAUUGGGUACGCAGGAUCAAUUAUCUUCUUAGUAAUUAACAUAAUAAUAUAUUAUGUUAAUAAAUGUGUUGUUUUCAAUAGAUUUUGGGGUAGGAAAAGUCAAAUCAAUCUAGAACAAUGAAUUUGUAUUUUUGGGGGAGACGGGGUACCUCACUUGUUUGUUGUGUGCGAUGUGGUGUAUCUAAAAUCCGAGGGAGGUGAGAAGCGGAGAGAGAGUGGUAACAAUGGUGAAAGGUCAAAACCAAGAGAGAUAUUCUUCAAAAUGAGCUUCACACCUGCAAAACAGUGAAAUAGAGGUUAGAGGUGAAGUCGGGGUAUCCCGGCGUUCAUACUCUGACGCUCAAGUUAGCAAACUCAAGCUUUUAUGGUCAAGAGAGCAGGCUAGCCCUCUGUAAAUUAGGGUUUACGAUUGAAGAAAACCUAUUUUUUGGAGUGUAAGUGUUAAUGGUGAGUGAGAACAUGAUGGAGAAUGAAACCUAGGCACCUUUAUAUAUGGAGUACCUCAGCAGCCACGUGGCGUACCCUUUUUGGCUAACGUCCUUUACAUUUUUAUGAUUUUUGGGCCGUAAUGUGCAUGUUCGCGGCGUAUCUCAUCUUUUGGAGACGUGGCGCACGCUGGAGAGUGGUCCAAGGUACCUCUGCAGUAGCUGUCGGGUAGGUGGCUGAGGACCACUGUCCUUGGGACAAUGUCCUUCACUUUUGGCAAAGGUAGCAGACGGCUGUCCCCCCCCAUUUGGUACGACGUUUUUUAUUCCUAAUUCUGACAAAAUCAAAUAUUAUCCUUCAAGAUAUGGAGAUAUUUCCUAUGGCGGACUUUUUCAGAGGAUUCUCCUGAGUCGGACCUGUCGGGUACCUCAAGUUAUUUGAGGUACCCCGAUCCAUGUGAGGUACCUCGAGUUAAUCUGGGGUGAAGUAGGGUAUCUCUAAUUAUGCUGGGUACAUUUAAUUAUGCAGAGUACCUCAAAUCAUGUCGGGUACCUCGAAUCAUACGGAGUAGCUCGAGUUAUCCCGGGUAUCUUGAAUUGUGCUGGAGUUAUUCCGGGUACCUCGAAUUAUACGGGGCACUCCAAUCUAUACGGGGUACCUCGAGUUACUCUGGAGUUAAGUGGGGUAUCUUUAAUUACUCCGGGUACCUUUAAUUAUUCGGGGUACCUCUAAUCAAGCCAGGUACCUCUAAUUACAUCGGGUACAUCUAAUUAUGCGGGGUGCCUCUAAUCAAGUCGGGUACUUCUAAUUACGCGGGGUACCUCUAAUUGCGCGGGGUACCUCUAAUCAAGCCAGAUACCUCUAAUUACGCCGAGUACCUCUAAUCAUGCGGGGUACCUCUAAUCAGGCAGGUACCUCUAAUCACGCCGAGUACCUCUAAUCAUGCGGGGUACCUCUAAUCAGGCAGGUACCUCUAAUCACGCCGAGUACCUCUAAUCAUGCGGGGUACCUCUAAUCAGGCUGGGUACCUUGAGUUAUUCUGAGUACCUUGAAUUAUGUUGGAGUUAUUCUGGGUACCUUGAAUUAUGCUGGAGUUAUUCUGGGUACCUCGAAUUAUACGGGGUACCCCAGUCUAUGCGGGGUACUUCGAGUUACUCUGGAGUUAUGCGGAGUACCUCUGACCGUGCCGAGUACCUCAAAUAAUGGCAGGUACCUCUAAUCGUGCGGGUUAUCUCUAAUCAUGUCGGGUACUUCGGAUUGUACUGAAGUUAUUCCAUUCGUCGACACGUGGCGUUCUGCUAUCUUUCUUAUUUUUCCCCCAAACAACAUCCCCCUAGUUUCUUUUGGCGAGAAGUAUUGGAGACAAAAGAAAUUUACAUAAAAAGUAGGAGCGACACGUGGCGAUAUGAAGUUUAGCUGGAUGGGCAGCUGAAUAAAGGACGCCUCUAGGGGUACCCUCAUGAAGGGAAGAUCUCUGGAGUGAACAAGACUUUGAGGGGACACUUUGAUGAAGUUUCAGAGGGGAAGGCCCAUAAGGUGGAAGACCCUAAGAAGCUUUAAGUUAAGCUUGAGGACUUGGUACCUCGACAAAAGAACAUAGUUGACAAUGCUUUUGAGCGCAUCAUGACCGAGGAAUGGAGUGUUGAUAUGGGGCUGGUGGUGCCAAGAGUAGAGAACUAGGUAGAUAAGCCGGCUAUCUUGAAGGCAAUUGAGAAUAGCAGGGCUCCCCACACAUCUUGGUCUGAAAGCCCAUGGAGAUCAACUGGAUUACCUCAGAUGAAGUCACCAUAAGGUACCCCUGAUACCGACGCUUGCGUUUAUGCUAUUUCUAGCACUUUUGUUGAUCCCCUUAUCCUAAAUGAUGAACGUGAAGAUAACCAUCCUACUAUGUAACAUUGUUUGGCAUUACCGACAAGGCGUAUGGGGUACCUCGGGUACCCUUAAGCUUGGAUAUCCCCUGAGUUAUCUAUUACUUCAUGGCGGGAUAACCCAACUUUAUCAAACAUAUGACGAUUCCUUCAAAUAUGCUUGUUGUUUAUCUCAAGCUUUCUUAGAGUUCCUCUUAGUGUACACGAGAAAUAGUUUUCUGUCAUAGGGUACCCUGAGUACUAUGGGUACCCUUAAUCUUGUCUCAUCAGUGUAUCGCGGUUUACUUAGACAUGUUGUUGCGGUUAAUUCAUGGCGGAACAACCUAAUUUCAUCAAGCUUUCUUAGGAUUCCUCUUGGUGUAUUUGAGGAGUGACUUUUUGGCGUAAGGUACCUCGGAGGUACCCUUAAUUAGUGUAUAGCGAUUUUCAUAGAAAUGCUUGCCGCAAAUCUUCACAAAACUUGUGGCAAUUCCUUUUGAGAGAUGAUGGAAAACCUCAUGAUCCACCAUUCACUCUACAUCAAAUAUGCAAGAUAAAUAGUAAUAUAGGUGAGCUGUUCGCCUACCCUUAUGCAAAAUGGUUGAAAAUUUCACGAUCCGCCAUUCGCGUGGAAUCAAAUAGACAACAUAGAUUACGGGUGGACGCGGUUCGGUUCGGUUUUUUACUAUAUUUUUCAUAAUCGUUCGAUUACGAUUAUUUUAAAAUCAUAAUCGCGAUUAAUCAAAUUACCGAAAUAAUCAAAUACUCGAUUAAUUGAAAUAAUUCGAUUCGGUUCGGUUCGAUUAUUUUGAUUAUGGGCCUAUUUUGGGCUUUUUCAAAUUUAAAACCUUAAAUUAAUAAAUCUACAACAAACAUAAAAAAUUAACAAACAAAAAAUCAAAAUAUGUCUCAAACAAUGUUCAAUAACACAUAACAUGUUCAAAUAACAAGUUCCAAUAAAAAUAAAUCAUAAUCUCAAUUACUCCUCAGCUUCUUGUUCUUGUUGAGCUACUAUUGGCCUACCAAAUUCUACAUUAACAAAUUAAACAAAAAUAUUAGAAUGAUUAUUUAAGAGUGAAAUAACCAAAACAACAUAUCAAAAUAUAGUACUAACAUAUUACCUGCUUUAAUAAUUUCAUAGAAUUCAGUUUCCUCCUAAGUAGGUUGUGUUAUCCGUUCUCUUAAUAGAGUUGAGCGAAGCCAAUUUUGAGUGCAAAUUAAUGACUCAACAGUUUUAUGAGUUAAAAAACUUCUAAAGGGAUCAAGAACACGCCCUUCUGUGCUAAAUGCCGAUUCCGAAGCUACAGUAGACACUGGAAUUGCCAAAACAUCUUUGGCAAUCUGAGACAAAAUCGGAUACCUAUGUCCAUUCAACUUCCACCAAGCCAAAAUAUCAAAAUGGGCAUUACUAGUACUCUCAUUAGCAUCCGUCAAGUACUUUUCAACAUCAUUUUUCGAACAAAUGUCAUCAUUUGAACUUUGCUUUAUUAUUUUGAAAGAUGAAAAAAGAUCAAUUGACAUUAUACUACUACUAGCACUAGCACCAGCACCACCACCACCACCACCACCACUACUACCAUUAUGGAUAUCACCAUAACAAACACCACCACUAUUCCUCACAUCACUCCCACCAAUAUAGCUAUUAUAUAGCUUCAUCAACAACUCUUUAAUGUUAGAUUUCAAUUCUUCAACCUUUCUAGAUUUAUACAUGUUACUAAAACAAAAUGUAACAAACUCCAAUUUACAUCUAGGAUCAAGCACAUUUGCUACAAAUAAUAACAUGUUAACCUGAUCAAAGAAUUACCCCAAUAUUUAGCAAACUUUUGUUCUAUUUUUUCGGCCAUUUUUCUUAACAAAUCAUCACUAGAAGUAGCAAGUGACUUCAAAUGAAUUAGAACUCUUGCCAUUUCAUUUAAGUAAUCAUUGGAAGUGACAUCAAGAGAGCUACUAAAUUUCAAGGUCACACAAUAAAAAACCGAUAAAAAAUUUACUAACCUCUUUGCAUUUCCCCAAUCGUCAUCGCUCGGUGGCCCCUCCCUCUUCUUUUCACCCUCCUCCUCAACAAACCAAAUAACAUAAUGUCCAUCAUCUUCCUUCAUCCUAUCAAAUGCUUUUUCAAACACAACCGCUUUAUGCAACAUCAAAUAUGUUGAAUUCCAUCUAGUAGGCACAUCCAACACCAUAAGCCCUCCAUAUGAGAUUUUCUCCCUAUCAACACAUGUUUUAAACUUUUGCAAUCUUGCUGGAGAGGAUCUAACAUACUUUACUGCAUUGCGAAUACUAGCUAUUGAAUUAUUCACCUCUACCAACCCAUCUUGCACAAUCAAAUUUAUUAUGUGUGCCGAACACCUCACAUGCAUAUAUAAACCAUUCAAAAUCAUUGAAUUCACACUCCAAUUUGCUAACUUCUUCUUCACAUAAGUUAUUGCAACUUUAUUGGCACUUGCAUUGUCCACUGUAAUUGUGAACAACCUCUCAAUCCCCGAAUCAAUCAAACAUGUCUCAAUUAGCUUCCCAAUACCAUCUCCUUUAUGAUUAGCUAUAGGUGUGAAACUAAGAAUUCUUUUGUGCAACACCCACUCCGCAUCAAUAAAAUGAGCAGUAAUGACCAUGUAGUUAGACAUUUGAAUUGAUGUCCACGUGUCUGUGGUAAUACACACCCUCUGCUUGCUUGCACCCAAGACACUUUUUAACAACCCUUUUUCAUGCUGAUACAAUUCAAGAAUAUCCCUUGUAAUUGUUCUUCGCGAUGGCACAUCAAAUCUUGGGCAACAAGUUUGCAUAAACUCUAAAAACCCUUUGGCCUCCACAAAGCUAAAAGGUAAUUCAUCCUUGACAAUCAUCUUCACAAGUGCCAUUCUACAAGCCUCUUGACUAAAUCUGCCACUAACUUUAACAACUCCAUCAUCUUUAUCUUUUCCCUUUUGACGGAAAAGUACUUGUUGCUUCGGAUCCCCUUCAACCUUCACAUCUUGAUAUAACCUACAUCUAUCCAAAUGAUUCUUCAAAUUAGUGGUAUUUCCUCUAUUAGCUGCAAAGGUUUUAAGACAAUGAUGACAUUUUCCUUUGUUUCCACAAGAUAGUUUGGUAAAAUGAGCCCAUUUGAUCUCAAAGGUAUUUUUCUUUUUUUCCCAUCAUCAACCUCCACCUCUUGCACUUCCUCCUCAUCAUAAUUUUCCAUUCUACACAAAAAAAAAUCAACACCACAGCAGCAACAAAUCAACACAACAGCAGCAACAAAUAAAAAAUCUUGGGGAUUAACCAACCAUUUAAAGACACUUAGCAGAGGGUCGUGACUAGAACUUUUUUUUAAUAAUUUUGGCAUUGUUGUUGUCUAAUGUUGCCCAUUUAUGAAAGCAACAAAUUUCUUGUGAAAAUAUUAUAUAGAAAUGAGCUUUCAAUAAUUGUUUGAAUAAAAAAUUUUGGAAGUGGGACAGUCCUUGAAGAGUUGAAAACAUUGAUCAAGAUAGACUACUUGUACUUUGCUUAUAUUAAUGAUCACGAGUUUAAUUUAGAGAUUUGAGCCCAAGUCCCUCCAUUUACAUUAUUAAUCAUUUUUUUUAUUAACGCUAAUUGAUUAGAGGAAUGUGAUAAUGAAAAGAUGAAAAUACCUGCUCAAAUGCUUUGCCGAGUACAUACUUACAAAUCCACUAGUUUAGCUUUUAAUCACAUAUAUAAACCACCAUCGUCACAAAAUUAUCAUAUAUUACACAAUAAUCAAAGCAAAUUAUUGAAAAUCUAUGAAGCUAACCAACUCGGCUCAUCUAAAUCUACUCCAACAGUAAACACUCACAAGUCCAACAACGUUAAACUCUGUUUCAAGUUUUACUGUUUUUACUCUCGGCAUGAGCACAUCAUCAUGUGAAACCAUUAAAAUCCAAGUAAUAGCAAACUCACAAGUUGUAGCUUCGUGGAGAUCACUCGGCGACGAGCAGCAGCGGCGACGCGGCAGCAACAACGAUGGGCACGAGCAGCGGUAGCAGCAGCGACGGGCACGAGCAGCGGCAGCAGCAGCGACGGGCACGAGCAGCGGCAGCAGCAGCGACGGGCACGAGCAUCGGCAGCAGCCGCGGCGGGCACAGCGGCAGCAGCAGCUACGAGCACAAGCAGCGGCAGCAGCAACAACGAGUUCAGGGGCUGAAGGUCACGAGUUCAGUGGCUGAAGUGAAGAUCAGUUUACUCACUUUAGGUUUAGUUUAGGGAUUCCGGAUUAUUAUUCGGUUUAUUUGAUACUCGGUUCGGUUUUUCAGUUUUUUUUUUAAACCGAAAACCGAACCGACUGGUUUUACUAUUUUCUCUAUAUUACUAAUUCGGUUUUUUGGGUGUAAAAAAUCCGUAAAAAAAUGAACCGAACCGAACGGUUCGGUUCGGUUUUCGAUUAAUCAACUUUUUUUGCCCACCCCUAACAUAGAUUAAGAUAAAGGUGGCUGCUCGCCUACCCUUAUGCAAUAUGGUCGAAAACCUCAUGAUCCACCAUUCUCUGGAAUCAAAUAGACAACAUAGAUUGAGAUAAAGGUAGCUACCCGCCUACCCUUAUGCGAGAUAGUCGAAAACUUCAUGAUCCACCAUUCGCAUGGAAUCAAAUAGACAAUAUAGAUCGAGAUAAAGGUGGCUACUCGCCUACCCUUAUGCGAGAUGGUCGAAAUCUCAUGAUCCACCAUUCGCAUGGAAUAAAAUAGACAACAUAAAUAAAUAUGAAGGUGGCUGCUCGCCUACCCUUAUGCGAAAUGAUUGAAACCUCAUGAUCGACCAUUCGCUCAGAAUCAAAUAUGGCGAACAAAUAAUGAUAAAGGCGGACUUGAUGUUAAGUAGAUUAUCAUGAUUGGGGAUAGGUCAGGUACCUCGGGUACCUUGGAGUAAAGUGAUCUCUGGAUACCCUAUUGCAUCAUAAUAAACAAUACUUUUACUAGUAGUAUGACUUUUCUUUGUUGGAUCGGUGGCCCAAAUCGAGUCUUCAAUCGGGGUACCCCGUUUUUCAUCUUUGGGUAUUCGAGGAUCCAAAGAUGCCUCCAAUUCAAAUUUGGGCUUAAUUUGGUCCCCGUGGGGUACCCCCACAUAACUAUAGAGUAACUAGUUAUGGGGUACCCUACUAUCGAGGCCUCGGUGGUGGCUCUCGCUGAUCCGGUGGUGGCGAUCUUGGAGGUUGGGGUACCCUUGAGGUACCCUGAGCGUUAUACCCUCGUCCCCGCAGGGCAGCCCGUGGAGGGCUCCGUGCUCGGGGUACCCGUGGUAUUGGAGCCUUCAUCCUCUUGGGCUUUUCCUUGUUCUUUGUAACAUCGGCUUUAUCUUCUUCGCGCUUCAAUUGGCAUUUCUCGUCCAUCUCCACCUGCUGCAAUGCCCGGGAACGGGCUUCCCCAUAUGAAAGUGGGCGCUUCUUUUGAAAGGAACGCCAUAACAUGCCCAACCGUAAAUUUUUCUCAAAAUGGGUCAUUGUGUAUUAGUUUCCAAAUGCUCCGGUUCGCAGCACCUCUUGGUGGAAACGACUCACAUACUUCGCUAAAGGGUCGGCUUCCCCUUGCUUGAUAAAGGCAAGUUUAGAGGCUACCCUAUCUUGAGUGGAAGCAUAGGAAACGCUUUCGUAAAUUCGGAUAACAAUUGGUAUAGGGAAGAUAUGCUACCCGUUUUCAAAUAGUGAAACCAUGACUUCGCGGGGCCCGUGAGUGAGUGUGUAAACAUCCUACACAUGGCGCUCUCAUCUAUACCCUUGAUAAGCAUUUGAUCGCGAUAUAGCUCAGCAUGCUCCGAGGGAUCAGUGGUACCCAAGUAUUAGGGUAUCUGAGGCAUGGCGAACGCCUCGAGGAGAGCUGCCGUCCGAAUCUCCAUAGUGAAUGGCGAUUGGUAGGUCAUUGGCGUUGGAGCAGGUGUGAUGUUUUGCUUCUCGGAGAGGAGCUUCACUUGGGCUUCCAGGUUCUCCAUUUUUUUCACAAGUUCGAAGGGUACUCUCGGGGUACUCGAUGAUGUCACCGCCAUUUGAGAAGCCUUUUUGGCGUUUAACUUCUCACGGAGAUCCUCAUGGAUACGCUUUGCACGCCUCAUACCCUGGCUGCUACGGGAAUUGUAAGAGGCGAUGGAACGCUCAUCUCGGGAGCCCACGGUUUGAAACUUAGAACGGGUACCUGAUGGCCUAUGCUUUGGCUUACUGGCCUCGGGUACCUCUCUUCUAGCCAUAGUUUGGUCGUCCGUUUUAGGUGGUGGAGCAUCUAGCGUUACUGGUGAAAGUGAACUUUCGGGUGCCCGAGAUCCAACCGCCCUAAGUAUUGCGUGGGCAAGAUCCUCGAAACGCUUGUGAGAAAUAGGUUCCUCAUCUUGGCGAACACCCGUCGAUUGCUUGAUACCUUUGCCCUUGCUGAUGCGGGCUACCCUUCUUGCGGGAUCACUACCUUCACUGCUGCUAUCAUCUCUCAUCCUUGUAGGAUCCGCCACUAAACCUUCGGGCGGUACGUUGGGUGCCAUGUAUUGGAGUACACACAACAACUAGUUUGGUAACCGUGGUGGAGGCUUUUUGUACGCUUCCCCACAGAUGGCGCCAAUUGUUUUCGAUAGAUUUGGGGUAGGAAAAGCCAAAUCAAUUUAGAACAACAAAUUUAUAUUUUUUGGGGAGACGGGGUACCUCACUAGUUUGUUGUGUGCGACGUGGUGUAUCUAAAAUCCAGGAGAGGUGAGAAGGGGAGAGAGAGUGGUAACAAUGGUGAAAGGUCAAAACCAAGAGAGCUUCACGCCUGCAAAACUGUGAAAUAGAGGUUAGAGGUGAAGCCGGGGUACCCCGGCGUUCACACUCCGACGCUCAAGUUAGCAAACUCAAGCUUUUAUGAUCAAGAGAGCUGGCUAGCCCUAUGUAAAUUAGGGUUUAAGGUUGAAGAAAACCUAUUUUUUGGAGUGUGAGUGUUAAUGGUGAGUGAGAAUAUGAUAGAGAAUGAAACCUAGGCACCUUUAUAUAUGGAGUACCUCAGCUGCCACGUGGCAUACCCUUUUUGGCUAACGUCUUUUACCUUUUUAUGAUUUUUGGGCCGUUAUGUGCAUGUUCGCGGCGUAUCUCAUCCUUUGGAGACGUGGCGCACGCUGGAGAGUGGUCCAAGGUACCUCUGCAGUAGUUGUCGGGUAGACGGCUGAGGACCACUGUCCUUGGGACAAUGUCUUUCACCUUUGGCAGAAGUAGCAGACGGCUGUCCCCCCUUUUGGUACGAUGUUUUUGAUUCCUAAUUCUGAAAAAAUCAAAUAUUAUCCUUCAAGAUAUAGAGAUAUUUCCUAUGGCGGAUUUUUUCAAAAGAUUCUCCUGAAUCGGACCUGUCGGGUAACUCAAGUUAUAUGAGGUACCCCGAUCCAUGUGAGGUACCUCGAGUUAAUCUGGAGAGAAGUGGGGUAUCUUUAAUUAUGCUGGGUACCUUUAAUUAUGUAGAGUACCUCAAAUCAUGUCGGGUACCUCGAAUCAUGCGGAGUAUCUCGAGUUAACCCGGGUAUCUUAAAUUGUGCUGGAGUUAUUCUGGAUACCUCGAAUUAUACGGGGUACUCCAAUCUAUGUGGUGUACCGCGAGUUACUCUGGAGUUAAGUGGGGUAUCUUUAAUUACGUCGGGUACCUCUAAUUGUGCGGGGUACCUCUAAUCAAGCUGGGUACUUCUAAUUACGCCGGGUACAUCUAAUUAUGCAGGAUGCCUCUAAUCAAGUCGGGUACUUCUAAUUACGCCGGGUACCUCUAAUUGCGCGGGGUACCUCUAAUCAAGCCAGAUACCUCUAAUUACACCGGGUACCUCUAAUCAUGCGGAGUACCUCUAAUCAGGCCGGGUACCUCUAAUCACGCCGGGUACCUCUAAUCAUGCGGGGUACCUCUAAUCAUGCUGGGUAUCUCGAGUUAUUCCGAGUACCUUGAAUUAUGUUGGAGUUAUUCUGGGUACCUUGAAUUAUGCUGGAGUUAUUUCGGGUAUCUUGAAUUAUACAGGGUACCCCAGUCUAUGCGGGGUACUUCGAGUUACUCUGGAGUUAUGCGGAGUACCUCUGACCGCGCCGGGUACCUCAAAUCAUGGCAGAUACCUCUAAUCGUGCGGGGUACCUCUAAUCAUGUCGGGUACCUCGGAUUGCACUGAAGUUAUUCCAUUCGUCGACACGUGGCGUUCUGCUAUCUUUCUUAUUUUUCCCCCAAACAUGUGUACAUAAAUUUUAUUCAAUAUUUAUAGUUUUACAGCAAUUUAAUAAUAAAAUUUACCAAACAUAUACAACUAUUUUUAUAACUCACAGCUCCUUUAAAAAUAAGUUUUUGUAAACAUUUAAUUAAUUUUCUUUACAAUUAAUUAUUUCUAUAGCACAACUAACAUCAAUUAUUUUAAAAGCUACAGCAUUACCAAAUUGGCCCCUUACUCUUUCUAUCAAAAUUAUUAUUUAAAAGUUCUAAUUGCAAUACGUUAUCAACUUUUAUUUCACAUUUACAAAUUUUUUUCACAACAGCUAUAACUUAAAAGUUGCAUCAUCUUAAUACCAAAUAGGGCCAUAGUAAUUUGGGACCUUUUUUUCCCCCAUUUUUCCUCUUCUUCAGUAACUUAAAAAAAAAAACUAGAAACAAAACAGAAACAUUGAGUAUGAAAUUAAGCAUUAGUCAAGUAUGAAGUUGGGUGAGUCGAGUAUAAAAUUAAGUACUUUUGUAUAUGAUUUUAAAUAAAGGGUAUUUUAAUAUUCUUUGUGAUUUUGGAAUAUUUCUAUAAUACCAGUAAACUAUGUAAUAAGCAUAUAUUUGUUAUUUUGUUGUGAAUGGGACAUAUCUGGGGCCAUUUGCUCCCGUGACCGAUCUUUAUAACAGAUCCAAUUACCCUCGUUAUAGUCACUGGAUCGAAAGCUAACAUAGCUCAAUUCUGAUAUGUAAUGUGUGAUGGGAGAGUCACAAAUUAUUGUAUAAAUUUAUUUUAUCUAAAUUAAUUAGUAUAAAUUGAUGGAAAUAUAAAAUAAUAUAAAUAUAAAUUACGUAGACCAAAGUGUAUUUAAUAUAACUAAUAAAAUUUUACUCAACCAGUUUAUAUAAGAAUUUGUAAUUUUAUUAUUAGUCAUGGUAAUUAAACAGUGGCUGAUUGGUCAGCUAGUGGUAUAAGUGGCAACGACCAAACUGUUGAGUCUCUACGUGGGUUUUCAAAAUGAGUCAAGAGUCAAGAAAUUAGCUAUCAAGUUAUGACAAUAUUUGUAAACAUGUCUUUUAGAUGAUACAUUGUCAUAAUCAGCAUCAUAUCCUAAUUGACUAAGAAGGAUUACGAGGGAAACUAAGCAUGUGCCUUCAUUUUCACUUGAAAUAAAGCGCGAGGGAAAGAUCUCAUGUUAUCACAUGAUGCCGUGUGAUCACCUAGAAGCCCUUCCACGCAUAUUUCUUCUCAAAUUGUCUUCUUCUAAUUUCUUGGGCCAUCGCGGAACCACAAUGUCAAUGGAUGAGCGAGUGUUGCUCAGCUCGCAGCAUUUGGAGCCGGAGCUUAGCUUCCCUUAUUUGUUGGUCGUUUGGUAGGCGUCGCCAAAGGGCAAAGACGAUCCUCUGGCGUUCGUGGAGCUGGUCCUCAAUGCGAUUGAUUUCUUCUCCAAGUUGAGCAAGUCUUUGUACCAUAGCCAUAUAAUUAUUUACUUUGGACCGAUGCAAUUCUCUUCUAAAAAUUUCAAGGAGCACUUUUCAUCUGUACCCAAAUGUUUCAUCAUAAUUUUAUUGUAUACACACUUGCUUCAACAGCUAUGACGGCUCACUCUUUUUGUUAAAUAUUGUUGUUGCCAUUAAUUUUGACAUCUUUGACGUUAAAAGACAACUUUACCCUUAUUUAUAUUUUUAAUGCAAAAUUACCAAAAAACCAGAACACCAGUUUCUAAUUCCAAUUGACUUGUGGGGAUAUUAAAAUUUAAUUUUGGCAUCUUUGACAUUAAAAGAUAAUUUUACCCUUAUUUAUAUUUUUUAAUGCAAAAUUACCAAAAAAAACCACAACACAAGUUUCCAAUUCUAAUUCACCUGUGUGGAUAUUAAAAUUUCUUAAAGGUUAGAAAAAAAGUAAAAAUGUUUUGUUCAAAAUAUCCCCUAUGCCAUCAUCCAUAAACGUCCAUUCUUCAUAACAAUCUAGUAAACUUGGAAAAAGCAAGAUCCCAGUCAAUCAACCAGCCAAAAUUCUUCAUAAAGUUUAGCUUUUCUUAAAAAAUUUUAAAUCUUGAGUUAAAAAUUUUAAUUCUUGAGACCCUAAAUUAAUUGAUAAUGAAAGUCACAUGUUUCUAUAACAAAAAUCUUCAAGAAUAACAGUACAAUGAAAAUCUUCAAGUAAAUAAAAAUCUAUAUUCAUAAUAUUUAUGAAUAAAUUGUAAAUAAUAUAGAGUGGUUUACAAUUUUAUAAUGUAUUCACUAAACAGGAAUCGAAAUUAUUUGGAAACAUAAUGAGUUAGAAUCAGAAUAUGUAGAAUAGAAAUAAGGAAUUGGAAUCAGAAUAAUUUAUUUACUUGAACUGCAGGAAUCGUAAUUAGAAUGAGUCAUUUACGUGUUUACUUUGUCUUAAAAUCAAAAUUGGAAUGAGUUAAAUUGUAACAAAUUACUAUAAAAUCUAUAAUUAAUUUUUAUCAUAAUUAUUAUUUUUUAUUUUAAUUAUUGUGAUUAUUAUUAUUAAUAAAAAAUUAAUUAUUAACAAUAAUUAUUGUUAAUUAUUAUUAUUAUUAAAAAGUUAACUAAAAAGUUAUUAUUAAUUAUUGUUAAUAGAUUAAUUAAUUAUAAUACUUUUUAUUCUUGUUAAUAAUAAUAAUAAUAAUAAUAAUAAUAAUAAUAAUAAUAAUAAUCCAUUUACAAUUUAUAAUUAUAUUUAUAAUUAAGUGGAAAUUAAAGUGGUAGGUGUUAACAUAAAUUAUUCUUGAUUGAUUUUGAUGAUAACAAACAUGAUUAAGAUUGAUUAAUCGAUUUAAAAGCUCAACAUAAUUUUCAUCUAUUUUGACAAGUUUCAUAAAGUAUUUUUAUAAAGAUUUGGAGACAAAACAGUCAUCUUGCAAAAUAGUUCACUGCAGCAGUUUUUGUGGAAAACGGCGAUCCGACAUGUGUAGUAAACGGCUCGCCGAUUUCAAGCAGAAAUGGAGAUUAGCCUCUGGACGAAAACGGCACACCGACAUUUGUGAUAAACGGCUCGCCGAUAUCAACCAGAACUGAAGGGUAGCCUCUGGACCUAAACGGUGAACCAACAUGUGUGAUAAACAGCUCGCCGAUAUCAACCAGUAGCCUCUGGACCUAAACGGCGAUCCGACAUCUAGAUAACGGCGAUCCGACAUCUAGAUAACGGCGAUCCGACAAUUUGAAAAAUCAGCCCAACGGUCAUAUUGACCAGUCAAACGGCGAUCCGACAGUGUGCAGAAAGUCAAUAACGGCUAGUUUUCAGCAGCAGCUAUAAAUAAGCUCAUUCAAAUUCAAACAAAGAUUGAUCACAACACGACCAUUGAGCAAAUAUUCGAGAAUACAAUCUCCAUAGAGCUUAGAACACAUUCUUGCUUCAUCUAUUCACAUAUUAAGCAUCAUUGUGUAAUCUUAUAUAUUGUGAGAGGCAAAACAGUUUGUAAUCUUUUACUUUGAGUGAUUGUAAGUGUUGGGAUACACUUGGGUUAAGAGAUUAGGGAUAAUCUCUUGUUGUAAAGGUCCAUUGACACCUUGGAAGUCAAGUGUAAGCAUUUGAAGCCUUGGAGGCUUGCUUAGUGGAAUCCUCAAGCCCGGAAAGCUUGGAGGCGUGGACGUAGGCGAGGUUGGCCGAACCACGUAAAAAUCUCGGUGUUUGAAUCCCUCUUCCCUUAUCUUUUUAUAUUGUGAUCAUCCUAAUUGUUGUUGCUUUAAAUUUGAUUUAUAAUUGCAUUAAGAUUUUCUUUAAUAAAUUGAAUAGUUUUUUAGAAUCUCAAUUCACCCCCCCUCUUGGGUUGCAUACUUGUAUUUCAAUUGGUAUCAGAGCCUCGUUCUCUUGUUAAGACUUAAUCGUCUAGAGUAAAAGAUCCAUGGCAACCCUAAAUGACUCAACCUUUAGAGAAGGGCAAUCCACAACUAGACCACCAUUUUUCGAUGGUAAUGACUAUGCUUAUUGGAAAACUAGAAUGAGAAUCUAUUUGCAAACCUUAGAUUAUGAAAUUUGGGAAGUUGUUUGUGAUGGUCCAUUCAUGCCUACGUUCAAAGAUGAAGUAGGAGAUGAUAUUCCUAAACCAUCGAGUCAAUGGAGUGAGUUAGAAAAGAGAAAGAUGUCUCUAAACUCCAAGGCUAUGAAUGCUUUGUUUUGUGCCCUUGAUAAGAAAGAAUUCCAUAGAGUAUCUAGUUGUGAAAGUGCACAAGAGAUAUGGAACAAACUUGAAGUUGUCUAUGAAGGGACAAAUCAAGUGAAAGAGUCUAAAAUCAGUAGAUACACUCGUCAAUAUGAGUUGUUCCAAAUGGAACAAAAUGAAAAUGUGUAUUCUAUGUAUACUAGAUUCACGGACAUAGUGAACACCCUAGGUGCCUUAGGGAAAACCUUCUCAAAUAGUGAGAAAGUUAAGAAAAUCAUUAGGUCACUUCCAAAAGAAUGGAGACCUAAAAGAACCGUCAUUGAAGAGGCCAAAGAUUUAAAUACUUUACCUCUUGAUGAUUUGAUUGGUUCUCUCAUUUCAUAUGAAGAGGAUUUAGCUGCAGAAAAAGGACAUGAGGAGAAGAAGAAAAGCAUUGCUCUCAAAGCUUCAAAAUAUGAGAGUGAUGGGGAGAGUGAACCAGAUGAUGAAGAGCUAGCCAUGCUAGCAAGGAGGUUCAGAAAAUUCUUCAAGAAAACCGGAGAGCGAAGAAAUUUCAGAAACUUCAAGAACCAUAGGGAGAAGAAGGAGGCAAUCACAUGCUAUGAAUGCAAGAAGCCUGGACAUAUAAGAUCGGAGUGCCCACUUAUCAACAAACUCAAGAAGAAAGCAAUGGUUGCAACUUGGGAUGAUAGUGAGGAAGAAUCAAGUGAUGAAGAAGGAUCGCAAGAAGUAUCAAACCUAGCACUCAUGGCAAUAGGAGGGGAUGAUGAUCUCAAUGAGGUAAGUGAUCCCACCUAUGAUGAAUUGUAUGAUGCUUUUAAAGAUUUGCAUGAUGAGUUGAUGAAGAUUGGUAAAAAGAAUGUAUGUCUUAAAAAGGAAAUGGCAAAGCUUAAAAAUGAAAAUGAAUCUCUAAAUGCAAGAAUUGUAUGCCUAGAAGUAGGGAACAAAACAUUGCAUGAUGAAAUUGCAUUAUCAAAUGAGAAACCUAGCAUCUUACAUGAGCAUUUAGAAUCACACAUAGAUGAGUUGAAAAAUGAGAACGAAAUGCUCAAGAAAAAGAGCAAUGAAUUAAAUGAAAUUGUUUUGAAAUUUACAAAUGGGCAAAAGAUGUUGGAUAAUAUGCUUAACUCACAAAAAUGUGUUUUUGAUAAAGGAGGACUUGGAUAUAAGCCUAACUUGAAGCAAAAGUAUUAUAAGAAUUAUUUUGUUAAAGCUACCUCCAUAAAUGAUCAUAAGAUUGUAUGUCACUAUUGUAAUCAAAAUGGUCACAUGAAAUAUAGAUGUCCCGUAAAAAGGAAUGCAUAUUAUGGUGUCAAAUGCAUUUGGGUUCCAAAAGGAACCGUUGCUAACUCUCAAGGACCCAAAAAGCUUUGGGUACCUAAAACUUGAGACUUUUUCUUGUAGGGCUUGAAGAAGAAGAAAAAUAAAUGGUACUUGGACAGCGGUUGUUCAAGGCACAUGACCGGAAACUAUGCAUGGUUCUCAAGCUUCACCAAAAUUGAAAAUGGUGGAGACGUAUCUUUUGGAGACAACUCAAAAGGAAAAAUUCUUGGAAUUGGAAAUGUUGGUAAAGUCUCUUCAACUCUAAUUGAGAAUGUAUGUAUGGUUGAGAACUUGAAACACAACUUAAUUAGCAUUAGUCAAUUAUGUGACAAAGGUUAUAAAGUUAUCUUUGAUAAAUUUAGUUGUGUUAUUGAGAACUCAUGUGAUGGCAAAACCGUAUUUGUUGGAAAUAGAUGUGGUAAUGUUUAUAUCAUUGACAUAGAAUGUGCAUCUACUCUUGAUAAAUGUUUUUCGGCAUUGCAUGAUGAUUGUCGGUUAUGGCAUAGAAGGUUAGGACAUGCAAGUAUGGAUUUGAUUUCAAAAAUUUCGAAAGAUGAUUUAGUUAAAGGUCUUCCGAAAAUUGGUUUUCAAAAGGAUAAGAUUUGUGAAGCUUGUCAAUUUGGAAAACAAAUUAAAACUUCUUUCAAGAAUAAAAACCAUAUUUCUACUUCAAAACCUCUUGAACUUCUUCACAUAGAUCUUUUUGGGCCAUCUAGAUAUGCAAGUCUAAAUGGCAAAUAUUAUGCAUUUGUGAUAGUGGAUGAUUAUUCUAGAUAUACGUGGGUAUUAUUCUUAGCCAAUAAGGAUGAUGCUCUUGAUGCUUUUAAAGUGCUUUGUAAGAAAUUACAAAAUGAAAAAGGGCGUGGUAUUGUAUGCAUUAGGAGUGAUCAUGGAGGAGAAUUUGAAAAUCAUGCAUUUGAGAUUUUUUGCAAUAAUCUAGGCAUUGAGCAUCAAUUUUCAUCACCUAGAACUCCACAACAAAAUGGAGUUGUUGAGAGAAAGAAUAGGUCUAUUCAAGAAAUGGCUAGGACCAUGCUAAAUGAAAAUGCAUUACCAAAAUAUUUUUGGGCCGAAGCCGUCAACACCGCUUGUUAUGUUUUAAAUCGGGUGUUGAUUAGACCUAAUCUUAAUAAAACUCCCUAUGAGCUUUGGAAAAAUAGAAAACCCAACAUUGGCUAUUUCAAAGUUUUUGGAUGCAAAUGUUUUAUUUUAAACACAAAAGAUAAUCUUGGUAAAUUUGAUCCAAAAUCUGAUGUUGGCAUCUUUCUUGGGUAUUCAAACUCAAGUAAAGCUUAUAGAGUUUAUAAUAAAAAAACUUUAGUUGUGGAGGAGUCCAUGCAUGUUACGUUUGAUGAAUCUAACCCCUCCUCUACGGAGAAAGGAGUUGCUAAUGAUAAUGCAGAUGGAGAGUUACAAGAAGAAUCAUCAAAAGAGAAUCAAGAGAAUGCACCACAAGAAAAUCAAGAGGAUAGACAAGAAGAACAAACAAAUAUGGAGCUGGAACAACAAGAUGGUAUUUCUCAAACACUCCCCAAGGAGUUGAGGUAUGUCUCUUCUCACCCUAAAGAUGUAAUUUUAGGAGAUCCCUCACAAGGUGUUACAACUAGAUCAUCAUUUAGGAAUACUUGUGAGCAUAAUGUAUUCAUUUCUCAAAUUGAACCCAAAUCCUUUGAGGAUGCGGAAAAUAAUGAAUCUUGGAUUAUGGCAAUGCAAGAGGAAUUAAAUCAAUUUGAAAGAAACAAUGUGUGGGAAUUAGUUCCUAAACCGGAACAUCAAUCCGUCAUAGGUACUAAAUGGAUUUUUAGAAAUAAGAUGGAUGAAUCCGGUGUGGUUGUAAGGAAUAAAGCUAGAUUGAUUUUGAUGAAACUUUUGCACCCGUUGCUAGACUAGAAUCAAUUAGAAUGUUGUUGGCAUUUGCAUGCCAUAAAGAUUUCAUCUUAUUUCAAAUGGAUGUGAAAAGUGCUUUCCUAAAUGGGUAUGUUAUGGAAGAAGUGUAUGUAAAACAACCCCCUGGCUUUGAAAAUGAAAAGUUUCCAAAUCAUGUUUAUAAGUUGCUUAAAGCCUUGUAUGGAUUAAAACAAGCACCUAGAGCAUGGUAUGAUAGACUUAAGAAUUUCCUGUUGGAAAAUGAUUUUUCAAUGAAUAAAGCGGAUACUACUCUAUUUGUUAAGCAUAAGAACCAAGAUAUACUUAUUGUUCAAAUUUAUGUUGAUGAUAUUAUUUUUGGUUCUACUAAUGAAUUGUUGUGUAAAGAAUUUUCAUCGUGUAUGAGCAAAGAAUUUGAGAUGAGUAUGAUGGGAGAGUUGAAGUACUUCCUUGGACUUCAAAUCAAACAAAACGAGGAAUGAAUUUUCAUAAAUCAAGCCAAGUACGUAAAAGAUCUACUCAAACGAUUCGACAUUGAUGAAUCAAAGACCAAGAAUACACCAAUGAGCACAACAACCAAGCUGGACAAAGAUGAAAAAGGCAAAGAAGUGGAUAUCAAAAUGUAUCGAGGUAUGAUCGAAUCCCUACUUUAUUUGACUGCAAGUAGACCCGAUAUCAUGUUUAGUGUAUGUUUGUGUGCAAGAUUUCAGUCAUGUCCCAAGGAAUCUCAUUUGCUUGCUGUUAAAAGAAUUUUCCGUUAUUUGAGUGGAACCAUAGAUAUUUGCCUUUGGUAUCCUAGGGGAACUCAUAUAGAUUUAACAUGUUAUUCUGAUGCGGACUUUGCCGGUUAUAAAGUGGAUAGGAAAAGCACUAGUGGUACUUGCUAUAUUCUAGGACACUCUCUUGUUUCAUGGUUUAGCAAGAAACAAAAUUCUGUCGCACUUUCAACUACCGAGGCUGAAUAUAUAGCUGCCGGAAGUUGUUGUGCACAAGCACUUUGGAUGAAACAAACACUUAGAUAUUAUGGCAUUAAUCUUAAAAAAAAUUCCUAUUAAGUGUGAUAAUACUAGUGCUAUUAAUCUUUCAAAGAAUCCCAUUCAACACUCUCGAACCAAGCAUAUAGAAAUAAGACAUAAUUUCUUGAGAGAUCAUGUUCAAAAGAGAGACAUUGCAUUAGAGUUUAUUUCUACGGAAAAAUAACUUGCCGAUAUUUUUACAAAACCACUUUGCGAAGAACAAUUUUCCAAAAUUCGGCAUGAACUUGGGAUGAUGAAAUUUUCACAUUAACAUCUUUAUUCAUGCUAUUGAGUCUAUUAACAUUGAUUGAUCUAUGACUUGAUGCUUUAAUAUCUAUGAAAUGCUCAAUCGUAAUAUACAUGUGAUGUGUAUGGAUAUUUGAAAAUGUAUGAAUUAAUUGUUGCAAUACAUAUAUAUAUUCAUGAAUUAUGCAUUGAACUGGCACUCAAAUCAUUUUGGAUCAAUAAAAUGAUCUUGAAAUGUAUUAAUAAGUAGCCAAAUAUCAAAAUACAUGUGCGAAAUCAUAAGUUGUAGAAAACGGAUUACCGUUAUUUCAAUAAACGGCUAACCGUUUUGGGCAGAAACAAUGGAAAGUUUUUCUGGGCGCUAUCGGUUCGCCGAUAACUAUCUAUCGGUUCGCCGAUAACUAUCUAUCGGCUCGCCGUCCUGAUACAAAAUUUUGAGGAGACUCCCUGGACCCUAUCGGCUCGCCGUUAUUUCUAUAAACGGCUCGCCGUUCUGAUGAAAUUUUUUGGAGGACUCUCUGGACUCUGUCGGCUCGCCGGUUUCUUUAUAACGGCUCGCCGUUAUCACGCGUAAAUUGAACAGUCCUUCGUCUUCUUCCUCAUUUCGGCUUCUCUUUCUCUCUCUCUCUCUCUCUUCAGCCCGCGACAGCACCAGUUCUCUACUCUCAAAUCCAUCACUUUUCUUGUCAUUUUUCAUCAAAUUGAUGCAUUACAAACCAUUUUUAUCUUCUCUAGAACCUUUUAACCGACUCAAAUCCUUCUCUUUCAUCUAAAAAUUGAAAAAUCUUCUUUUUGAAACCCUAGAACCAGCCGAGCCUUCCUUGCUCAAAUUAACCCAAAUCUCUUCCUUUUUCCAAUCACAUUUCCACACGCAAUCACUAUCUCAUCUCUCAAACUUCAUUUCCACAAAUUUUUUUUCUCCCAACACAUCCAUGGCGGAACGACCACAAAGGCGUGCUCGAACCAAGCACACUGCUCCACGCCGUUCUAGUCCACCCAGGUCUCCUCCUCAAGACUUCGAGAGUCUUCAUUUUCCCGAUGCUACCUCUGCUCAGCGAUUUCGUGAGAAAUUCAUUGGUAAACCCGUAAUUCCCUCUUUUUCUCUUAACAUCUCGGAGUUUUCGGAUAUUACUGUUUGUGGUAACUCCAUUACUCAAAUGCUUAAUCAUUGGCAGCAAGCAUUAAGUAUUGAAGAACCUAUUUAUGAAAAUCUAGUUCGAGUCUUUUAUUCUAACAUAGAAUUCUCCUCUACUCGUCGUGACGAGCUUCAUACUUUUGUAGGAGGAAUUCGCAUUGAACUAGAUGAACCCGAAUUAUGUAGUAUUCUAGGAAUUGCUUAUGGAGGGUUAGAUCUGUACACUGCUAGGAAAGAACUUUCUUUUAGUAAUUUUCGUCAUGUGGAUGGUGUACGGAACAUUUUUCGUCGUCGGGAUCUUUCCAAUGACAUCUGCUCUCUGUCCUUCAGGUCUCAACUCCUCCCUUUUCAGAUUCGAAUUCUUCACAUUAUUCUCCAACACAUGGUCACUCCUAGACAGGGUCACACUGAUGAGGUCACUAGGCUUGAUAUUGGUCUAUUAGAUUCUCUUAUCCGUCGACGCCAUGUGAGCCUAUCCUACACUAUUAUGUGCCAUAUGCUGUCCACCCCUAAAGUCUCCAAUCGAUCUCUUCCUUAUGGCAGCAUCAUUACUAAAAUCUUGAACCACUUUCAUGUUCCUAUCAUCGAGCCUGUUUUUCUCGAGACUCGUAAGCUCGGACGAGAAAUUAUUUCUGCCAUCAGAUUCUUUAAGAAGCGUGGGAAAUGGGAUAAGACCACAUCCUCUAAAAACGAAGACACAUUGCUUGCACCAUAGGAUGAUCGCAUGUUGAAUGACGUCUACUCCGAGGAUGAGCUACCUGAUUUCCGUCUUGGGGCUAGACCGCGUGUUCCACGCCGAGCAGCUGCACCAGCAGCACCUGCAGCACCAGCAGCACCUGCAGCACCAGCAGCACCUACAGCACCAGCAGCAGCUGCAUCUCAGGAUGACGAGCCUACCGAGAUUGCCGUCCCUCCUGCGGCAUCAGCUGUUCCUGAGGAUCGCUUCCAGCAGCUUCUCGACCGAGUGGAUGCCCUGUCCCAGCAGCAGCAGCAACUUCGAUCUGAUUUUACAACCUUUCGGGAGCAAAUUUCUGAUCAGCAGAUGGAGUUAAUUGCAGGACAGCGUCGCAUUCUCGGCUACUUUGGAUAUGACCCCGGCAGCUCGUCUUCACAGCCCCCAUCUUAGAUUUCUCUGCCCCUCUGACAUUCGCAUAGACAUCUUUCAUUUCAUUUGCCAUAUGUGUAUGAUAUUAUUUGUGUUCUGUGUGUUAUGUGUUUUGUGAUUAUGCUUUUGAUAAUUCUUGUUGGACAUAUGCACUUAAUUUCUGUUUGGGUUGUUUUUGGUAUUAUAUUGAUUAUAUUGCUCAUUCUGGAAGUGUGAAUUUGUUGGUAUGGAGGUUGGUUGAUAUGGUGGUAUAUUUAUAUGGAAGUGUUUUUCUUUUUAACUCUGUGUGUUGUUGAGGAAAUGCUCAUAUUUCAGGGGAGACUCUGCCCAAAUUUCUCCAAACAUAAGUCAUUCAUCUCGUCUCUUUCUUUUUGAUGAUGAAGGGGGAGAGAAAUUGGCAAAAUGCAAAAUUGGUUUUGGCAAAAUAGUAUUGGCAUGCAUGAGUUUACUGGCAUAAAUUUUUUUUUAAAAUCAAUCUGUCGUGUUUAAAAUUUUGAGAUUAACAGUUGAAUAUUUUUUAACAAGGGAGUUAACAAGUCUUUCAAAAUUUCACUUAGGGGGAGCAAAAUUGCACAAGUAUUUUCUUGAAAAGUUUGUCAUCAUCAAAAAGGGGGAGAUUGUUAACAUAAAUUAUUCUUGAUUGAUUUUGAUGAUAACAAACAUGAUUAAGAUUGAUUAAUCGAUUUAAAAGCUCAACAUAAUUUUCAUCUAUUUUGACAAGUUUCAUAAAGUAUUUUUAUAAAGAUUUGGAGACAAAACAGUCAUCUUGCAAAAUAGUUCACUGCAGCAGUUUUUGUGGAAAACGGCGAUCCGACAUGUGUAGUAAACGGCUCGCCGAUUUCAAGCAGAAAUGGAGAUUAGCCUCUGGACGAAAACGGCACACCGACAUUUGUGAUAAACGGCUCGCCGAUAUCAACCAGUAGCCUCUGGACCUAAACGGCGAACCUAUAUGUUGAUAAACGGCUCGCCGAUAUCAACCAGAACUGAAGGGUAGCCUUUGGACCUAAACGGCGAACCGACAUGUGUGAUAAACGGCUCGCCGAUAUCAACCAGUAGCCUCUGGACCUAAACGGCGAUCCGACAUCUAGAUAACGGCGAUCCGACAAUUUGAAAAAUCAGCCCAACGGUCAUAUUGACCAGUCAAACGGCGAUCCGACAUCUAGCUAACGGCGAUCCGACAGUGUGCAGAAAGUCAAUAACGGCUAGUUUUCAGCAGCAGCUAUAAAUAAGCUCAUUCAAAUUCAAACAAAGAUUGAUCACAACACGACCAUUGAGCAAAUAUUCGAGAAUACAAUCUUCAUAGAGCUUAGAACACAUUCUUGCUUCAUCUAUUCACAUAUUAAGCAUCAUUGUGUAAUCUUAUAUAUUGUGAGAGGCAAAACAGUUUGUAAUCUUUUACUUUGAGUGAUUGUAAGUGUUGGGAUACACUUGGGUUAAGAGAUUGGGGAUAAUCUCUUGUUGUAAAGGUCCAUUGACACCUUGGAAGUCAAGUGUAAGCAUUUGAAGCCUUGGAGGCUUGCUUAGUGGAAUCCUCAAGCCCGGAAAGCUUGGAGGCGUGGACGUAGGCGAGGUUGGCCGAACCACGUAAAAAUCUCGGUGUUUGAAUCCCUCUUCCCUUAUCUUUUUAUAUUGUGAUCAUCCUAAUUGUUGUUGCUUUGAAUUUGAUUUAUAAUUACAUUAAGAUUUUCUUUAAUAAAUUGAAUAAUUUUUUAGAAUCUCAAUUCACCCCCCCUCUUGGGUUGCAUACUUGUAUUUCAGUAGGGUCCCAAUCAAAAUGUGGCACGAACACAUUUAUCCAACAACAAGAUUUUUCGAUUGCCAUCCCCACUAAUUUGGUGUAAGGACUAAGAGUUAAUUGAAAAAUAUUUAGUUUAAUUUUACAUUUAAUUUUUUUUUUCAUUUUUGUAUUAAGAAUUAAUUGAAAAAUUAUUAUAUUCCCUUAAUUUUACCAUAAUGCCGUUGACUUAGACCCUAGUCUCUUGAUUAAAGCGUUUUCAAGUUCAAAAGAUUCAGAUAACUCACUCGAUUAUAGGGCGUCUGCACCUUACGCUCGCGUUUGUUGUGAUGCCAGUAGCUGCUGUGACUGUGGCUGUCGUUGUCGAUUGUACUUGAAUUUUGCAGGAGAGCUUAAUAUCUUGUUUAGUAAUUAAGUGUUGUAUCAUUUAUUGUUAAAAAAUUAUAUUAUAAAAUAAAAAUUAAUAAUAAGUAAUAAAUAUGAUUUUUAAAAAUUAAUUUUCAUUAUAUAUUGUCAUUAAAUAAAUAUAAAAUUAAUUUAAUUUAACUGUAAAAUUAUAAUAAUUAAUAUUUAUUGAAUACUUUAGUAUUAUAACUUUUAAAAUUAUAAUGGACUAACUUCAAUCCCAAAAGAACCUGAAAUGAUUGUGGAGAUCGGGAUUUUCAAUUUCCUUUCUUUUUGGAACUAGUUUGGGAUUGUCCAAACACGCUAUGGUAUGCGUUUGACAUGGAGAAGGGGGACAAAUCAAUUUUGUUUACUGCAAAACCCUAAAAAUAAUUAGUCAACUUGCGUAUACCCCUUUUGGACCCAUUUUGUCAGGAAAAAGAAAUUGUGGACCAUUUGCACUCUAAAUUUAACUUUAGAUACUGGUAUUUUAAUAAAUUUUUAUAUUAUUAAAUUAACCUUAAUAUAAGGAUCCAGCUACCGUGCAUCUGUGGUAUGGUAUCCCGCAUUUUGUUUAUAUAUGACUUUGCCUUUAAAUGUAACACAAAACUUGCAUCAAUUGCAUAGAUGUAUUCUCUUUGGUUAUUAAUAUUGACACCCCUAUUGUUUUUCAAAAAAGUAAAAUGGUGAAAGGUUUGACACAUAAUUUUAGAUUAUUUUUAAAUUUUUUAUUUUUAUCAAUUGAUCUACUUUAUUAUUAAAAUUAAUGACAGUAUAAGAGCAAUAACUUGAAAAAACUUUUUAAUACAUAAAAUAUUUUUUUAUUUUGAAAACAAUAGAAUAUCAAUUUAAUAUAUAGUAAAUAAUUUGAAUAUAUAAUAAAAAUAUAUUAAUUUAUCAAUAAUAAUAUGACCAAAUGACAAUGUUAAAAAAUUUCAUAAUAAUCAAUUAUGGUUUAAUAUUCAAAUAUAAAAAAUAAAAAUAUACUCUUAAAUGUGAAUAGUAGAAAUAUAUUAGACUUAUAUGCUAAAAUUUCAAAACUUUUAAAUUUUUUAUUUUUCAACAAAUAAGAGGGACUGUAAAGUAAUUUAUCAAAAACCGGUGGUUCCUUGAACCCGGGGCAAUAAUUUACUAUUAAGAACGAUUAUAGUUUAAUAAAUUUUUAUCCUAUAAACUUUUAUCUACUGUAAACCACAUUAACAAUGAAAUGUUGAAUCAAUGUUCACAUCAAGUUACAUGUUCUAUCUCUUAUAACUGAAACAAAAGGAAUUACAUGGUCACCGUCUGGAACUGGAAAUGUUUUGAGUUUACUUAGCCUAGAAGAAUUAACCCUUAUCCUUUUAGUUCGCACCGCCCACGAAGCUUCAUAUUCCUAAGAUAUGUCUUUUUUUUUUUUAAAUAAUUUAUAAUCUGACAGCUGGAACAAAGUUUCGACUUUCGAGUGGGCAAAACGCAAAAACUACCACGACUACUUCAACAACUUCGUUACAUUUAGACAUUUAUCAUUUAAUCAGAGUUUGACGAGCAGCCUUGAAGGAAAAUUUAUAGAAAUGACCCUUACUUUUUUUCGAUUAUACGAAUAACAAAUAAAAUUUUCUUUUUUCAGUUAAACAGUUUAAAGUCUACUAUCUACUGUUUAAAGGAGAAAAAUAUGGUGCAACGGUGGUACCGUUGCACCGUAGCCGGACCCCUAUUUGAAAUAUAUAGCAAAUGAAAUUUUCCUUUUUUCAAUUACACAAUCAACAUGUAACUGUUUUGUAUAUAUCUUUUUCUAGCGGCUUCAAAACGCUUCAACCUUAUGGAAUGGCACAAUCUUUGUAUAUUAUUAUUUUAAUUAAUAACAAGAUUACUGAUCCUGUGUGCCCGGUAAACACUACUGUGAUUGAGGAAAAAGCGGUAUUGCUAUUGCUGUCUCUUACCAAAGGCCUUGAUAAAUCAACCGUUUCUUCACAUCAAACUAAGGCACAAGAGGUAUAAAGCCUAGGUGUAGGAGAGAAAGCUACAACAUAUAUGACACAAAAUCAAUUUGGAUGGACCUUGCUAAUCACGUCUGUGAAUGAAGAAGAUUCACCUCGAUGCCAUAGUAGAGCAAAUUAUUAGGGGGCAGGAUGGACAUGUCACAUGGUUAAGGGGGUCUCUAAAUCCCGAAGGGUACAAAAACCUCUGCUUUGAAGCUCACCUCACUAUCUAAAAUCAAAUAUGACUUGAAUGCGAAAUUACGUGUGCGGUAAGUUCUUAUUUGGGAAACUGUGUUGUGCGUCCCACAAACUCCAAAUGGGAGCUUGCCACAUGUUCAAUCGUGCUUAUAGAGUGUGUCCGCAUGCAUCUAAUUGAGAUCUUAUUUACAGUAUAAUACACUUCUAAAAAUUUAGAUAGCAAUAUAAAACUUUACAACUAUAAUAUUCAUUGAUAAUAAAUUUAUUUAUUAUGAUUGUUCUCGUUGAAAACUCCUCAAUGAAAUUUUAUGAGUCGAAAAUAACGUAUGAUAGUUUAACUACCAAUAUAAGAAAAAAUAUAUUUUUCAAUAUACAAAACUAGGUUAUUGCUUAAUUUGCUUUUAAAAUCUUUUAAUAAUAACAAAAAUAUUCAUAUAUUGCAACACAUAGAGCAAACAUGAAUGCAUGAUAAAAUUAUAGAUUUCAAAACUAGACAAAAGAUUAAUCAAAAAAUGAAAAAUUAGAAUUAUGUAGACUUACAACUUAUGGGUCAUUGUUGAAAGAUCAAACAAUUGAUUUUACUCGAAUAGAAAACAAAAAAAAUUAAAGACCAGUUCAUUAACCAUUAUGCUAACAUUUUGUUAUGAUUAUUUUUUAUUUUAAUAUUUGUUCUCAUGUCUUUAAUUGAAUUUUAUGAAAUGUUAAUAACUAAUUAAAUUAUUUAUGAAAUUGUUCUAUUAUUUUGCAACAUCAUCAAAUGAUGAUUUCUUGUUCCAAAAAAUAUUAAUUAUCCAAAAAAAUUUACACUAAUGGAGUUGGUACACACAUCAAUCAAGCAUGAAUCGUCAUAUCCUAAAAAUGUGUAAACAUACAUUUAUCGGCUACGAAAGAAAUUGGAAGCAAGCAAAGCAAUUGGGGAUAAGUUUCCCCCAGACAUUGGGAUGUGUCAGUGAUUUCAACUUUUCUUUAUUUUCUUAUAGCUGAUUGGUAGAAAUAAAGCAGCGGCUGUUAAUGAAUUUGCGUAUAGUUGCUUCCCAAUCAGCUUGCAUGAUAUUGAUAGGCAAAAGAAUUCGCCUCAAUUCUGAAUUCUGAUAUUAAAAAACUAAUUCAUAAUAUUGACGUGAGGUUAAGGUUAAUUAUUCCCUUAGCAUCAAUCACCAAAAUAAGUAAAGUAUAUGCGAAAAGUAUUUUAAAAGAAAUCUUAGUUACCAUUAAUAUUAGAAAGAACAUAAAAUAUUUAUCAAGUACAAAGUCUAUUAGUCUUAAAGCAACAACAUCUUAAAGGCCACAGUCUAUCUAGGUGUAUGGAUUUUUGUUGUUUCAAGUUGGAGGUGAUUAACAACAAUUAUUAGAUUGACACGAUAUCAUCCACUUUAACCUUAAAAAAAAACCCACUCAAAGUUAAAAGAAUGAACUCUUUUGUUAGUUUAAGAACUUCAUUAUUAAGAAAAAGGAAGAGGAAUUUUGUGGGGCAUGAUCGUAGAAUACAAUUAAAGAGCCAAAAGAUGAUAGAGGGUCUCACAUAAUUAAGUGGAAAGCAGUCAAAAAGUGGGAAAAGGUUGUUCUUUUCUUCAAUGUUGUUUGAUUUACUUUAGAAUGAUUGAAGAAGAAAGAUCACUGUGGUGAUCUAAUGAAAGAGCUGUUUUCCAUUUGCAAUUAAACGGAAAACGAAACUUACAGAGAAGUUGUGCACAUUUGCACGUCAUAUGCUUUAUAAUCGAUCCUAUUUUUCUACGAGAACGUGAUUGAUUGGUACACAAGUUGUAUCACCUAACCAGCUAGCUCCAUGUUGCCUUAGUUAAUCUGCUACUUAAUUAACUGCUUUAUUGAAGCACUCACAAAUUAAACAAUAAUAAUUGAGUACAUAUAUGCACUAUUCUUAUUAUGUGAGUGAGAUAUUUAAGCCAGGGACGUAGCCAGGAUUCUGAUCAAGUUGGGGCACAUUUAAAAUCAAACAUGACUCAAAUGCGCGACUACACGUGCGGUAAGUUCUUAUUUGGGAAAUUGUGUUGUGCGUCCCACAAACUCCAAAUGGGAGCUUGCCACAUGCACAAUUGUGCUUAUAGAGUGUGUCCGCAUGCAUCUAAUUGAGAUCUUAUUUAAAGUAUAAUACACUUUUAACAAUUUAGAUAGUAAUAUAAAACUUUAUAACUAUAAUAUUCAUUGAUAAUAACUUUAGUUAUUAUGAUUGUUCUCGUUGAAAACUCCUGAAUGGAAUUUUAUGAGUAAAAAAUAAUGUAUGAUAGUUUAACUACUAAUAUAAGAAAAAAUAUAUUUUUCAAUAUACAAGACUAGGUUAUUACUUAAUUUGCUUUUAAAAUCUUUUAAUAAUAACAAAAUUAUUCAUAUAUUGCAACACAUAAAGCAAACAUGAAUGCAUUAUAAAUUUAUAGAUUUUAAAACUAGACAAAAGAUUAAUCAAAAAUGAAAAAUUAGAAUUAUGUAGACUUACAACUUAUGGGUCAUUGUUGAAAGACCAAACAAUUGAUUUUGCUCGAAUAGAAAACAAAAAAAAUAUUAAAGACUAGUCCAUUAACCAUUAUACUAACAUUUUUUAUGAUUUUUUUUUAUUUUAAUAUUUGUUCUCGUGUCUUUAAUUGAAUUUCAUGAAAUGUUAAUUGCUAAUUAAAUUAUUUAGAAUUAGACAUUUAAACGAGGGAUAAUAUGAAAUAUUUUAAAAUUACUAGAGUCACUUUUAAAUUUUACAAUGCAGCUGGGGCAUUUUUCAUAAAUAACAAACAAAAUACAUUUUUUUCAUAUAAUCAUCAAAAAAAAUUUAAAAGCCAGCCAGGGCAUGUGCCUCAGCUGGUCCCAUGCUGACUCCGCCCCUAUACGUAAGACACACGCAUAUUAUUUUACAAGGUACCACCAAUUUUUGUAUUUUGUGAUGUCAAAUUUCAUUUAACUCCUUAUCUUUUUUUAUUUACGGUUUAUUUAUAACAUUAUAUCUUUUGACAGGUAACUUUUUAAAAUGAAUUUUAUUUAUAAUUUAUUUAUAAGUUUAUAUACUUUGGCUGGUGAUCUACUCAAAUGUAAUUUUAUUUUAUUUAAUAUUAUUUAUCUUUCUAAAAGAAUAAAUAUAACAAUAAGCCUGUGACUAGAUAAUAUUAAAUAAUAUUUUGAAUAAAAUAAAAAUAUUAAAACUUUAUUCUUUUAAAUAAAAUAAAUAAUAUUAAAAAAUAAUAUUUAUUUUUUAGGACUCACAAUUGCUUAUUCUAUUUUAUUUAAUAUUAUUUAGUCAAAUAAUAUUAAAUAAAAUAAUAUAAAUAUUAUUAAAAAUAAUAGUAAUUUUUUUAGACUCAUUACUAAUUAGUUCAUUUUAUUUAACAUUAUUUAGUUUCAUGAAAGAAUAAAUAUAAUAAUAAGCCUUUGACUAUAUAACGUUAAAUAAAAUCAAAUAAAUAAUAUCAAAAAAAUAUUUAUUUUUUUAUAAAAUAAAUAAUAUUAAAAUUUUAUUCUUUUGAAUAAAUAAAAAUAUAUUUUUUAAGACUCACAACUGAUUAUUUAUUUUAUUUAAUAUUAUUGAGUUUUUUAAAGAAUAAAUAUAAUAAUAAGUCUAUAACUAAAUAACAUUAAAUAAAAAUUAAAUACUAUAAAUAAUAUUAAAUAAAAAUUAAUUAAUAUUAAAAACUAUAUUUAUUUUUAAUGCUCACUACUGAUUAUUUUAUUUUAUUUAAAUAUUUAGUUUUUUGAAAGAUUAAAUACAACAAUAAGCCUGUAACUAAAUAAUAUUAAAUGAAAUGAGAAUAAAUAAUUUUAAAUAAUAUUUGUUUAAUAAAUAAAUGAUAUUAAAAAUUAAUUUUUAAAAUAAAAAAUAAUUAAUAUUAAAAUAAAUUUAUUUUUUAAGACUCAUUGAUAAUUAAACAACAUAAAAUUUUAAACAAUUUGGACUUAUGUGCUAAAAGUUUUAAUUCUUUAGCUCUUUUGCAUUUUUGAUAAAUAGCAAGGAGCAUAAUGUUAAUAUUUAAAUAAACGAUUCACUACCCUUAAAUCUAUCUUUUCAUUGAAUCCAAUGAUCAAAAAUUAAAACCAAUGACCAAGAAUUGAAACUACAAAAAAAUAAAAUCAUAUGGUAUCUUACAACUGUUGUAAGAUAAUUGAGUCUUUUAAUUACACGUGUUAUUUGGAACUUGUUAAAUUGGUCCCUUGUGGGUCCUCGUGGACUCCAAAUUAGCCGUACGCCUUUUAAAUAGAAAUAAGUGCAUUACAAUUUUUUUCUAUUUUACUUUAUUUUUGAAAUUUUUUGGAAAAAGCGAUGACUCAUGAUAAUAGAAGAAGAAGAAUAGUAGGAUACAUGUAAUAUCGGUUUAUACUUUAUAUCACUUUUUACUUCUUUCUUUAAUUUUUUUUUUAAUUUUUUAUUAUCCUUUUUUGUGUCUUUGGGGUCCAAAUAUAUUGUGUAUGAAUAAAUAACGCGGCUUAUGAGUUGAUGGCAAUUUACCAUGCGUUAAUAAUGCUUGAUGAAAAUGUUGUAACCAACUGCUAAUUCGGUCGGAGAGGAGGGAUAUCUAGAGCAACCAAAGUUCAUAAUUGUUUUAAAUUAUUUGAGAUUAUUGCGGUGUGCAACGUGUCGUUUGUUAAGAGAAUUAAAAUGAGUCAAAAGGUUUAAGAAAUAAGCUUUGGCUGCUUGGAAGAACCGCUUUCGAGCCUCCACAAAGUAUUGUAGGGCUUAAAUUCUUUUUAAUUAUGAAUAAUAAUUAAAUGAAGACAGUUUUUUCCCUAAUAAUUACCUAAUUAUAAAUAUAUCAGUAAUAAUUUCAUUUAAUACGAAUUGUAAUAUCAAGAAAGAAAAAAAAAAAGCUAUCCACUUAUGAUAAUAUUCUUAUUUGUAAACGUGUCAUGAGAAUUGAGAUGAUACAUGAUCAUCAAUGUCAUAUACUAAUUGAAAGAGUAGGUUUGCGAGGGCCAGCCGUGCUAAGCAAGGGUUGUCAUUUCCCUUAACCGCUUGAAAUGAAGCAUGAGGGAAAGAUCUUAUUCCACCUAUGUUUUAUUAUUAAUAUAUAAUUUUUUUUAUCUAUUAACCAAUAAUUAUCGGAGCGAGUUUUACUCAGGAGAACUUCAAUAAUAAAAAAUGUUUGAUCUCACUGAAAUGACAAGUUAUUUAAGGUUAUUGAAAAUUUAAGUAAAAGUUACUUUUAGGAAAAUGCUAAACGAAGAGAAUGGCGUGAGAACGCAACGUGAUAAUAUUAAAUGUAUAGUAAAUGUCAACUUUUAGCAUUUUUCCUUUCUCACCACGAGUAGCUUUUGCACGACAGAAAAACAAAACAACGUUCAUCACAAAGCUAAUUUUUCUCUCAUCCAACGUGAAAAUCACUUUGGCUCAUUUAUUCACCAACGACCACCGAGUAGAUCUAGAGUAGUAGCAAGUGAGGGAGAGGAGCAGUAGAUCUGGAGUAGUAGCGAGCGAGAGAGGGGAGGAAGAGGAGGAGUAGCGAGUGAGGGAGAGGAGUAAAUCUCAACAUUUUUUUUUUCUUUCAUACUAGCCUUUUAAGGUUAUAAAAUUAUUUUGUUUUUAUUAACAAGAAUGUUGAAAGCUGCUACUGAAAAAAACGACAUUACUGUAUGUCAUUUCUCUCGGCAUUCUUGCGAAUUAAUUUACAUUUGUACCACUCUAUUAAUUUACAUCUUUGCAAUUCAUAUAAAUAAUUUUUUUUUUUAAAAAGUAAAAUCUUAGGUCCAGCCUGAAUGGGCUCACAUCUAACACUACUCUUACUUUUAUGCCAUCGCAUGAUAUCGUGUAGGGACGACAAAAUAUAGGUUUGGUCUGAGUUUGAAAAGCCAAGCCCAUUUCAGGAGAGGCACAACAAGCGAGCCUGGUCGAGCCCAAUGUGAGCCCAUUCAGGCUCAAGUUGGACCUAAGAUUUUACUUUUUUUUUUAAAAAAAAAAUUAUUUAUAUGAGUGGCAACGUUAUAAAUUAAUAGAGUGGUACAAAUGUAAAUAAAAUAGUUGAUUUUUUUGUAAACUUUGCAUAAUGGCAAUUUUGUAAAAUUUGGACAGGCUGUAGCUCGUCUCAAUCCACACACAGCGUUACCACUGGGUAUAAACAUGGAGAACAAUUUAUAAUUCCACCAAGCUAAAUUAAAGUCAAACACUUGACAUUAAGAAAUUUCUAAUAAUCUUAUAAAUAAGAACUAACUGACAACUCACCAAUUAGUUUUUCAUCAGAACUCAUAACACAGCACUUACCCAUUCACAUUAUAAAAAUAUUGACAUUAAUGAGAGCGUAACUUAAUCAAAUAAUAAUCCAUUAAUAAAAUGAAAAUUAACAACUUGUACCUUCAUAGAUGAUUCUUGUGCACUUGACUUUCUAAGCAAAGAGCGUCACUAUUCUUUUCAAGAAGGCAGCCACCACAAAGCGCAGAAGCUUCUUCAUAUAAUAGUACAACAAUCAAAACCUGAAACAUACGCAUUAGUAUUAAUUUAUUAUAAUUUAGCAGCUGUAAAUAUUUUUUUUUCAAAAGUUAUCUAAAGUAAAUAUAAGAAUAACAAAGAAUAAAAUCUUAGAUCAACAACAGAGAACUUAAACUCAAAAACUUGCUUGAACUACUAUCAACAUCAUACUGCAUAAUCAAAUAGACAAAAUAGUGUAAUAUAUAAUUUGUAUUGACCUCCAUACCAUCACGUAAAAAAGAUUGUAAUAAAAAUAGGGGUGUCAAAAAAACCCGCCCGGACUGGACCUGGCCAAUCCGGUCCGGGCAAAACCCAGACCGCAUGCGCUGAAAAUGAGGGUUCGGGUUUAAGAAUUUCAAACCCGGCCAUUUUCGGGCACAGGUCCGGGUUCAACACCAAAAACUCAGAACUCGGAACCGGACCCGGUUUCUAAAUUAAAAAAUAUAUAUAUAUAAAAACAAAAAUGUCAAAACCCAAAUCCCUAAUUGGCUAAUUCCUGAUUGAAAGAGGCAUAAGCAGCAAGCCAGCAAUGCUGUCACCGGCAUCAUCUCUUCUCGUCACCGUUGACAUUCGGCAUCAACCACCACCCACCGUCACCGUCGCUCGUCGGCAUCAUCUCUUCUCGUUUGCUGACUCGGCUUGGCACGCGGCUUUACUCGGUUGCUCCAUCUCCAGUGGCAGUGCGGCUGUGACUCAGUGACAGUGAGUCGUUCGUGCAGGUGAGGCCUGCUUCUGGGAUAUUUUUCUAGGAUUUGGCCUCUUCGAGUUGCUUGGCCUGCUUCCUGACAUGUUCGACAGCUGCGAUUGCAGAUUCCUUGGAGUCCUUAACAACUUUGAGCUUGGUGGUCAACUCGAGCAUGGUUCUUUUAGCCCUCUCAAGAUCGCCAAGUGCUCGAGCUCUUGUGCUUUCAGAGCUCUCUAACAGUUUCUUAGUUCUUUCGAUUUCUUUCCGGGCCAAGAGAAGCUGCGUCGUCAGCGCCACCGUCUCCAACUCUCCAUCGCCACUUUCUCAACCACCAUCUCCAACUCUGCUUCUCAGCUUCUGCAGGAGAGAAUUGCAUGCCAUAUUGCCAUUACUAUUAAGUUACUAUAUGCGGGUUUCUAAGCCCAGACCAAAAACCCGGACUCGGGAGGUGCCGGGUUUGCGCCCGGCCCGCACCCGGAAAAUCGGAUUUUAACCCGGGUCCGGGUUUUUUGUCCACUCAUCCGGUCUGGUCCCGGGCAACACCAAAACCCGGACCAGACCCGGAUUUUGCCAAGCCUAAAUAAAAACAAAUUAUAAAUUGUUUAGUGAUCACAAUGGAUCCUGAAAAUGACAACAACUACAUUAUUAUAAUGAGUUUGACGUGUCAUUGUACAUGGAUUCGUUAUGAUGAAUCAUGAAACACCGUUGAGUAAUUAAUUCGGCCACUUUUCACCUAUAAAUUUGAUGGCAUACUUUGAAUACACAACAUGGUUGUAAAUAUAAAUUUAGAGAAUUUUUGUGGGAAAGAAUAAUUUUAUUGACAAAAGUUAUUUUAAGUACAAAAAUAAUUUUAAGUACAAAAAUUAUAACAUCUCCAUUUUUAAUAUAGCUGACAUAAGUUAUUUGAGUUAAAAAAAAAAGGAGGAAACUUAGAUACGCCAUAUUAAAUAGGGCAGUAAUAAAAAAAAAAAUCUAAUUGACAUAAAUUAUUUGAGCAAAUGACAAAUAUUCGCUAAGAAAGUCUUUUUCAUUUUUUCCCAAAUAAUAAUCAAUGUUUUUUUCCACUACGCAUUGAAAGAGCUCGCAUCGACAUCAAUCAUGAACCAGUCGUGGCCUAGCUAUAUUGCCUGCAUUAUGAAUACCACCUAUGACCUUUAGAGCCUAACCGUUUAUCUCAGUCUAUUUUUAAUACUCAGGACAUGACCCUACUGGUCCCAUUAUAUAUCUAUUUAAAUUUCUUUUUUUUAGAAUGUCUAUUUAGAUUUCUUAAAUUUAAAAAACAAAUCAACUUCUAGCCCUUUAAAAAAAAAAAAUCUAAAAUCAACAAAGCUAUUAUUUUGAAGAUAUUUUGAAUUCCAAUUCCCAAUUAAAAUCAUGAAUAUAUCAGCUAUAUCAUAGCUUCAGCAUAACUAGUAAGUGGUGACAUCAAAUUUUCAAAUAUUUGGAACUGGAAGCAAAUAUCUAGUUAAUGAUUGAAGUUGCUGACGAAUAAAACCUCUUGUAUUAUCAUAGAGGCUGCCCCAAUAGCUUGCAAUAACUAUGGAUGGUGCAGUAAAGUUUCAGGAUAGAUGAAUAAACUAAAAAGCAAAAGAGAAAUAUCAGUUGCAGUAAGAACUACGUCAUCUCCACCUCGAUUAUUAUUCAAAUAUUAACACCAAAUGUCACUGAACAGCACAAGAGAAACAUCAUCCAUAUUUUAAAUGUAUCUGAAUAGCAUAAAUAUGAAAAUCACUGCAGAAAGUAAAAAAAAGAAAAAAGUAAAGAGAAAUUUAUCUCACAGCAUUCCUAUUAUUAAAACAUCAUUCAUUCAGUCUCUGGCCAAAGAACAUGAUAGCAACUACAAAAACCCAUGAGCCGGCAGGUCUUGUCCCUGUACAUGGUGAAACAACUAAAAUUAUGCUUUAAGAACUUUGCAAUAACUAAAAUUAUUACUCAAUACAUAUAGAAAACUUGGGCUCUGGAUAACUAUUUUCCCAAAUCAUGGGGUGUAGCUGUUCUUUUCUCCUAAUCAUUGAGGUACAUGUGAAAUAGAGAGAGAGAGAGAGAGAGAUUAAUUAGUAUACAUUCCAUUGGUAGAGUUUCUAGCUUAAAAUUUAUAUCACAGGCAUUGCUUAUUGAAUUGAAUACAUAUGAGUCCGUCUAUUUAAUGUUAAGUCUAAUAAUAGGAAAGCAGGCUCCAUUCAUUUUCAACAAGCAUUGCAAAAUUCAAAGUUUAUAUCACCGUUUAAUCAAUAGGGGAAUUGAUUUCCCAUAACAAGAAUGAACUCUAUAUAUAUGUAUGUAUACACCAAGAACACAGGAAGAAAAUUAUUUCUAUCAGAAAAUCAAGAUCACUCAACCAAACAAUGGUACCUUCCAAUCUACCUAGUGUAUGUAUAUAGGCAUCCACUGAUUGAUACUUUGAAUUUAAUUAAUGAAUUUAAUUAAUAAAUCAACUUCAGGUGUCAUGUUUCCACAUUAAAUAGAGCGAAUAACAAUUAACUAGAUAUGACAGAACUGGUUAAAAAUUUGCUCAAGAUAUACUAAAAAGAUCAAAUUUUAUUAUUUUUUACCUGCUUUCAUGUCUCUCCAAUGUCAGAUCAUGUCCUCAAGCAACUCUUUCGGCUUUCUUUGCCCAUUUUUCUUCUUUUUACAGCAUGAAGCUAAUACAAAGCCAAAUGAAAAGUAGAUUGGUCAUUUUAAAUUCAAUUUAACUGUCAAUCAAAAAGUUCAAUUGUUACUUUCAUCAACUCUAGAAUCAAUAGUUAAUGAAAUAUACAAUAAGAAGAGUAAAUAUUAAUAACGCACCAAUAUUACAAAUCAAUAGCUAAAGAUCAAGUGAAAUUUCACCUGCAAAUUAGGACAGCAGAGGAAGCAUCCAUAAACAUAAGAGUAAUUAUGUCACUCUGAAAUUUCAUAAGAGUAAAUUAGGACAGCAGAGAAAGAAAUAAACAAAGCAAUUUGCAAAGGACGCGGGCAUAAACAUAAUAGUAAGUAUAAAAUAUCAAACUGUAAGAAACAAGCAAAGAAUUCAAGAGAAGCAAGACAAACAAAUCAAAAACAAACUGAGAAGCAGGAAGAGUUGUGAUGGUAAAUCUUCAUCUUAAGCAGUUGAAGAAAACGAAUAAGGAUCGACCAAUGAAAUGAUUGCAAACUCAUUGGAAAUACAAUGCAAACCUUAAAAAUCAACAGUGAAGGAAAACAUAACCCAGCCCUAAGUUAAUUUGAACCAAUCCCUAAAUUAAUUUUAAAAAACAAAGAAAUCUGCUAAAAUUAUUACCGCUGAGUGAGAACGAGCAAUGUAUACUGGUCCUUCUUGGUGCGAUCGAGAAGUGAGAUCAGAUUGGAAGUGACGGUUGAGAUCCAGAGAACCAUGGAGACUGAUUCUUCAUCUCCGUAAUUUUCCCCUUUUUUCUAAAAUGCUAUUUUGCAUUUUUGCUUCCUCUGUUUUUUUUUUUUUUUUGAAUAGAAAAUAUCUUCAUUUCAAAGACGAAAAUAAGUACAGCAAAUGAGGAGGGAAUGACCCCAUCCACACAACAGUUUCAAGUCUCUCUAGAGCUAGUUUUGCUAGAGAGUGGGCUAAAACAUUACAAGAUCUAUGAGUAUAUUCAACACAUACAGAUUCAAAUUUCUUCAACAUACUUUGCACCUCUGAAACAAUCCAGAAGAUCUCGGCUCUGCAGCCCUGGUUGUUGUUUACCAGCUUAACAACCUCUUGAGCAUCUGAUUCCACCACCAGCAAACAUGCACGAUCAGCAAUCUGCAGGCCCCAAUCAAUUGCUUCUGCCUCUGCAUAAGCAGCUUCCCCAAAGUAUUUUGAUACUUUAAUAGCAGCUGCAAUCACAUUCCCAUUCUCAUCUCGAAUUACAGCCCCUAGGCCUGAAAUUUGCUUCUCUGAGUUGGUAGCAGCAUCCACGUUGACUUUGAAGUACCCUCUUUGGGGAGGAUUCCAAGCCUUUUGGAUCAAGCUUCGCUGAUUGCCAAUAUGAGCAGCUGCUGGUAAUUGGGUUCUUUGAUAAGCUUCCAUCACAGCUUCAGCCUUGGAAACAAGGAUUUGAGGAUUAUCUUUUUUGCCUUUAAAAAGCCAGCUAUUCCUUGCAUUCCAAGUCAUCCAGAGAAUCACCACCAGAAAUUCCAUAUCAGCUUUGCUUCUCCUUGAAUUUAAACUCAGCAAUAAACUCAGGAUAUCUUGAUCACUACUACCCUUCAGAUCAUCUGCAAAUCUGGUGGUUUUCCAGAUUUUCUUGGCAGCCUUGCAGCCUACUAGAGCAUGAAAGAUAGUCUCCAUUCCAUUUUUGCAGAGCUGACACAAGGGUUCCUGAAUAACCUUCCUCUUCCAGAGAUUUUCAGCUAUUCCUUGCAUUCCAACCUUGCAGCCUACUAGAUGCUUCCUCUGUUUUUUAGUUUCCGUAUUUCGAUUUUGUUUUUAAUUAGGCAAGGAAAAAAAAAAAGGAAGAUCGGGCCUUAUAUGAAAAGAAAAAUAAGAAAAGGGGCCCUAAUGUAAUUUUUUUCAGCCUAAGCAUUCGAUUAAAAUAUUUCAUUAUUUCCGUGGACAGAUUGCCCUACAAAAAAUAUAUAAUAUUUUUCACAUUAGUCCGAGGAUUCGUCAAUGUCUUUGUAAAAAGCACAUGUUAUCAAAGGUAAAUAACACACUAGAAAUGUUUAAUCAAUAAUACUGUUGUUUGUUGUAGUGAUAACUACUAAUUGUAUAUUAAUUCUUUAAAAUAAUUACACAUUUAUCAUAAUAUUAUUUAUUUAUUUUAUAAUUGAUAUAGUACUUUAAAGAUAUUUUAAAAAUUUUCCACUUGACAAUACUUAAUAAAGGGUAAAGUUUAAAUUUGUCGGAAAAAGUUUUUGAACAAUAUUGAACAAAGCGUUUACUUGUAUAACAAAAGAAUGCGUAUGAAGAGACAAAAAGAGUAAAGGCAUGAGUAUGACUAUUAUCACAGAAAUUAUUUUUAUUUCAAAGAUUGAAAUGUAAACAUUAAUAUAUUUUGUGGAAUUUUCUCCGUUACUUUUUAAAAUUACUACGUGUACAUGGAUGACUGUUGCAACUGUGCAAGACGAAACAAUUUAUUUGGAGAAAAUUCCUUCUAGAUUGGUAGCGUUGGUCGUAGCUGUCGGAUCGACGAAGUGUUAUUAGCUCGAAACCUAUUGCAAAUGUCAGUGCAAAAUGGCUUCAAGGUUUCGUUGUAAAGCUGACGACAAGCUUCUAAAAACAACGUGCCAUAUUGAUGUACAACAACAAUAAUGACAGUGCCAAUCCACGUUGUGCACAAAAUGAUAUGGCCAAUGUAAUAACGUGCAAUAAAGGUAGAGAUCAAAGAGAUUGCUGAAGUAGAUCCGGAGACAAUAGCAAUAAGGGCCUAAAAUUGGGAAGAAUUUUCUCGAUGAAGUCGAGACUUGAGGUCCGCUGAAUGUGCAUAACAAUAUAUGGCUGUGGCAAUGAGAAAAGACCAUAUAUUUAUUGAGUGUGUUUCAAGUAAAGGCUUAGGUUUGCCUUGCACAUUUGCACCCACUAUGCCGAUGAGAGCUGGAAUCAAAUAUCCAAAAAUGCUGGGAUAUGACAUCGAGCAGAAGAGAUUUCGCCCACUGCAAAAUCAUUAAAAUGAUUAAAUCAUCUUUUUUAUAUCCCAUUUUUUGAAAAAAAAAAUUAAAAUUGAAAAGCUCUUGUAUUAAUUUCCUCUCAGUUUGUCUAUCAAUUUUUUACUUUUAGCCGAAGCAAUUCUCCUCUAAAAAUUUGAGGGAGCACUUUUCAUCUGCACCCAAAUGUUUCAUCAAAAUUUUAUUGUAUACACACUUAUUUCAAUAGCUAUCACGACUCACCAUUUUCUGUUAAAUAUUUUUUUUGCCGUUAAUUUUGAUAUCUUUGAUAUUGAAAGACAAUUUUGCCCUUACUUGAAGUUUUUAAGUGUAAAAUCACCAAAAAAACCACAACACUAGUUUCAAAUUCCAAUUAAGGUGAGUGGAUAUUAAAAUUUCUUAAAGGUUAAAAAAAAAGUAAAAAUGUUUUGUUAUGGGAAUCAAAAUAUCCCCUAUACCAUCAUCCAUAAUCGUCCAUCCAUGAUAGCAAUUUAAUAAACUUGAAAAGGCUAGAAAUCCAAUCCCAGUGUAUCAAACAGCCAAUUUUCUUCAUAAAGUUUAGCUUUUGCUUUUAAAACUUCUAACUCUUGAGACCCUAAAUAAACCCAUAUUCAAAGUUACAUGUUUCCAUAUAACGAAAAUCUUCAAUUUACCCCUUUAAAAUUUUGAAAGCAUUAAUUUACUUCUAUUUAUCAGUCAAAAGAUUAAAAUAAAUGGAGACACCUUGAUGACAAACUUUUUAACUUUUUAGUGGUAUUUGAUAAAUAUAAAUAAAUUGAAAAUCAUCAUUUUUAGUGGGAAUAAGUUACUAAGAGAAAACAAAUUUGUUCUAUAGCAGGCUUAACAAAAUUUUCAGCGGGGACUUAACCAAUUUUUUCACGGAAAUUAAAUUAGCAGAACAAAAACACUUUGAAGUGGACUGCAUAUAUAUAUACUCAAAAACAACAUACAACUUGAGUCAAUAAUGGCAAAGAAAAUGAACGUACACAGAAGGAUUCGGAUUCGGAUGACGAAGAAUGCACUGACAGCUUUGCAUUUAUAUAUAUAUAUGGAGCAAACCCUGGAUUGAGUUAUCUUUUUCAGGGUAAAUAUGGUAGGGAACAGCAAACCCGAUCAAUUUUUAAAACAGGAAAAACAAAAACAAAAACUGAAAUGUAAACUCAGCUUGAAACUUGGGAGGGAGGGAAAAGGGGCGGAAAAUCGGUCACUUUGAGAGCAUCUAAAAUCUCUGCUGAAAAAAAUUAUCCCGUGCAGGGGUAUUUAUAUUUUCAAUUGCGUUGAUGCCGCGAGUCCACGGCUGGAUAAAUACGUGGGUUUCGAAGAAAUAACGUUUUGCUUGCAAGCACUGUUGAACAUCUCAAUUAUCUUUGUCCUUCGUUUACGUCUCAAACUUUUUCCCUUUGACUAGGGUCUACCUCUGUCGUUUUGUAGAAUGGUAGCAAAAUACGGGCUUGGAUUGAGUUUUUUCAAGUUUAGGCACAAGUCCAUCAGAGUGGAAGUGUGAGGACAGGGUCUGGGCCGAGUCCAUUGAGCUUUUAAUUAUUUUUUUAAUUAUUAUAAACUUAAAAUAAAUUAAUAAUAAUUAAGUUGUUAUAAUUAAUAGUAAAUUAAAAAAUAAAUAUUUUAAAAUAAAUAAUAAAUAAUAAAUAAAGUAAAUAAAAUUUUAAUUUUUUAUUACUAAAUUCUUCAAUUCAAUCACUUAAAAGUGAAUUUAGUAUUAUAAUUUUAAUUUUUUUUAAUUCAGUAUUGAUAUAUGAAUUAAGAAAUUAAGUUUUCUUUUACUUGAGCCCUUGUCCAGCCUCUCAUAUGGAAAGUCCGGACCAAAACCCGUAGAAAUGAGCUUAGGCGCUCAAACUCGGGCUUUUUUGUCAUCCUUACCUUUAUUGUUGUUUCUUUAUUUUAUUUUAUUUUUCAGCUCCCAAACAAAAGAAUGUUAAAAAUGACUAAUGGGUUCCCCUCUCAUGUUCAACGCCUACAGGGCUUCUAUGCUUCAUGGGGAAAUUUAAUAAAAUCGGAGUCAAAUCCACGUCAUAUAAUGUGAUGACAAUAUAUAUAUUUAGUAUAAUUUAUUUAAUGAUUAUAAGUGUUUGUUUAAUUUCAAUAUCAAAAUUUUUAUUAUUAUUCAAUUAUUUUUUGAAUAGAACUUUUAAGAUUAAAUAAGAUACUUUAUCUGUAUUAACAAAAAUUUAAAUUUUAAGAUUUUAGAGAUAGAGGUUGAAAAGUUUUCUUAAAAUGUUAAAAUAUCUAAAAUAUCGUUUACUUAUUUAACAAUCUUAUUUUAUUUUUUUAUAAGGUAACUUAAAAUCUUAUCUAUUAAAGUAAUUUUAUAAUUUUUAAUAAAAAACUCUUAUUGAUAGUCAAACAACUAAAAUUUUUUAAAAAAAAUUUUAUUUAUAAAAAUUCUACUAAUAAAAUUCUGCUUAAAUAAAUUCUAUUUGGAAAGUUAUACAAAUAGGAUUUAAGAUCCACAUUAUACUGGUACAAGACACAAGAGUGCUGACUGACCAAUUUGAACCGGGUGCGCUUCCCACCUAAAUAUUUCUCAAUCUGAGUUGGAAGGUGUGUCAGAAAGGUGACUUCAAAACCAGGAUUUCAACCAACUGUUCUCGACUAAAGUCCCUCCCCAAGGUUCUGAAGAACAAAACCAAUGAAGAUUGUCAGGACAGCAAUCCAUCAGUUGCAGUGAUCCAGUGGUUCAACGAUGGUCCCUUUCAUCAUUGAUAUGUAUAACAGAUUAUCUUCCGGUCUUGGAGCGUUUUAUUCCAGCACUGUUGAAGGGCGACAUACUAGGACUCAUACUCGGACUCAUGCUUGGGCUUUCUUCUCUUAGAGUACCAUUCAGCAUAGCUAAUUCCCGCAGUUGUUGCUUCUUGUAAUGAUCCAAGGAUUCAUCCUGCAUACAGAGAUUAGUUUGAACAAGCAGGAAUUAAGAGAGAUGCUAAAGGAAAGAAUAUCAACAAAGUUCAGAGAAAAUACAAGAGUUUUCCUGUUCAUACCACGGGCUUCAAGUGGGAAUUUAUUAUAUCCUCUGGAAAUUCAGCCUCCACUAACACGUGCAGUGGUUCAUUAAGAUGCUCAUAUCCAGGCUUAUCUUUAAGUUUUUCUUCCUAGAGAACCAAAAAGUAAAGGAUUAUCAAGAGAAACCAAGAUAGUAUAAUAUUGUCAGGCAACAUCCAAUAUUAGGAAUACAAAGAAAUAGUUUGCAAAUGCAAGACGCACUUUCCCAUUGUAGAACAUGAAGAACAGGAAAUGAGUCAUGAUUUCCACUUAAUAGAUAAACUAGUAAUAAUAUAAAUUCAUUUCCAGUGCAUAUGCCAUCAAUGAAAAACAAAACUACUCAAAAUAUCUAGCUACUCCUACCACAAUGAAGGAAAAGCGCCACAAUCAUACCAGCUGUCUACGUGAAAAGAAUUAUGAGAGGGGAAAAUGCUAUAAUUUACCUGCAAGUAGGGGUGUUCGCGGAUCAGAUUUUACAGAUUGGACAUCAAUCUAUAUCCGAUUCAUGAUUUUGCAGAUUAUAAUUUUUCAAUCCAAUCCAAUCAACGGAUUGAUAAAAUUCAAUCCAAAUCCAAUCUAUACAUCUGCGGAUUAGAUGCGGAUUUGACUCAAUCCAUAUCCAAUCCACCAUUUUGCACAUUAGUUUUCGAAUUAAAAAUUUUUAGUUCUCUCCAACUAAUGAAAUAAAAAAAAAUCUAAUAUAAAAAUAAUUUUGCUACCAAUUAAAUUUAAAAUUGAAUAAAAUUUAAAUAAAUUAAUUGUUUAAAUAAAGCUAAAAUAAUAUAUUUAAAGUUUCAAAAUAUAACACACCGAGACUAAUUAUUCAAAUAAAGAUACAAUAAUACGUUCAAAGUUUCAAAAUAUAACACACCAAGCUUAAUUGUUCAAAUAAAGUUACAAUAAUACGUUAAUAUAACACCGAAAUUAAUUGUUCAAAUAAAGCCACAAUUAAUUCAAAUCCGUGUCAAGAGUGUAUCCAACCAGUAUUGAGUGUUGCUAGUGUGUGUGAGUGUGACGGCGAGAAAGUUUAGGGUUUUUUGUUUGUAAAUUGUUGGUGACUUGACAUCAUGUUACUUUGCUUUUGGGUGACUUUGCAAAUUGUUGGUGACUUGGCGUUAUGUUAAUUUGCUUCUGCUAGUGCAUGUGACUUUGCUUUUAUUUUGUUUUAUAAUUUUUACAAGUUAUAUUUGUAUAUUUGAUUAUUUAAUUAAUUUUCAUUUUAUAUUAUUAUUGGGUAAUGACUAAGAUAUGUUAUAGUGUUUAUGUAACUAUGUAAUGUCACAUUUAUAAUUUUUUUAAUUAAAUUUAUAAUAAUUUUUUAAUUAUAUAUAUAUAUAUAUAUAUAUAUAUUUCUAGAGGAACCAUUACCCCUAUUGAAAGGUCACUUUUGUUUGCUGAUAAAUUUCCCGAUAAAAUUCUUGAAAAAACCCAAUUACAAAGAUUUCUAGGGAGUUUAAAUUAUGUUCUUGACUUCUGUCCUAAUAUCAAUAGGAUAUCCAAACCUUUGCAUGAUAGGUUAAAAAAGAAUCAUGUUGCUUGGACUGAAGAACAUACUAAAGUAGUUAAACUCAUAAAGAACUCUGUCAAAAGCAUUCCAUAUUUAUAUCUUGCAAACCUUGCAUUUCCUAAAAUUGUUGAAACUGAUGCUUCUGAUUUAGGAUAUGGAGGUAUAUUAAAACAAAAAGAAUUUGAUAAAGAACAAAUAGUACAAUAUGUUUCUGCACAUUGGAAUGAUUGUCAGAAAAACUAUUCUACUAUUAAAAAAGAGAUUCUUUCUAUUGUUUUAUGCAUAUCUAAAUUCCAAAGCGAUUUAUUAAAUCAAAAAUUUCUACUUAGAAUUGAUUGUAAAGCUGCAAAACAUGUUUUAGAAAAAGAUGUUCAAAACAUUGCAUCUAAACAGAUUUUUGCACGAUGGCAAGCUAUUUUAAGUGUUUUUUAUUUUGAUAUUGAAUUUAUUAAAGGUGAUACAAAUUCUAUUCCUGAUUUUCUAACCAGAGAAUUUCUUCAAAGCAGAUAAUGCCGCCAAAAAGAAAGGAUAAAGGUAAAGCUGUUCUCAAAGACUCUGAAUCUAAAUCCAUCUCCUCUGAAGACCAAGUAAAACAAUGGAUGUCAUCCAUUACAAAAUCCCCUGAGCUCAUGCUCGCUUUGCAAAGCCUCUCUCAAAGCCAAAUUUCUCCAAAAGAAGAAGAAGUAGAAAAGCCUAUUUCAAAAGAAAUUACAAAACCUUCUUCUCAAAAUGUUGUUGUUUCUGGUGAAAGUUCAUAUUCCCAAAUUGUUCUUUCCAAACCAACACUUUCAAUGAAAACCUCCGAUUGGUUUGAUAAAACUCACUUCCAAAAUAUUUUAUCGAUGGAAGAUGGUUUUUACCAUUCUUAUCCUUUUCAAGCAAUUUCAAAGUUUUUCCCCAAAGGCUAGUUUUUUAAACCAUGGAAUUUAACAAAACCCCAGUCUUACUAUCAAAGUAUUUUAGAAGCUACUGAGUCUGUAAAAUUUAAACAUUUCUUUCUCAGUGACGCUCAUUCUGAGCCGGCCUAUUCCACGGCCACUAUUCUAAAAGUCUUGAGCCCAAACCAGUGGGGUGACCAACUCCACAAAUUUAAAUCUUUUCCUUCAAAUUUCUUAAUGCGUUUACCACACUGUUUAUCCUAUACCUAUUGGGAUUACCAACAAGCCUGGUACAACACAUUUUUCAUCCAAAACCCUAAAAAAUCACACUCUUGGUUAUUUUUCUUUAAUUCAAAAAUAACCGUUCAAAGCCUCCCAAAUUGGUUUCAACAUUGGUGGAACUUCUUUGGUCCAAUUCCCCAAAUCCUAACUCCAAAUGCCACCCAUUGUUUAAACCUUUUCAAAGCCCAUUAUAUCCCUUCCGCAUCGGAGAAAAGGUUUCCUCCCUUUCUCUGUUUUUGUACAAAUUUCUUCCUUCCAUGGGUAUGGAUGUGGAACCUUAGGCUUCAUACCCAGGACACCCAACUCAUCCUACAAAGAACAUUCAAAGUAAAAUGGUGGUCAAAGUUUGAUGAACAGACUAAACUUACGGACACUCUAAUCUGUAAUUGGCUCUGCUCUCAAGGCUUCCUACAACCAACAUUAACCAACCCUAAAGCCCAGCAUACCUUCCUCACCCAAAAAUCCGAAGCCCAAUCUCUUUUGGCAAGCGCCAAAUCUGAAGAAGAAUAUUUCAAAGUUAUGGAGCAACUUCUCUCCACCAGAUCAAAGUCCUCAGUAGCAGACACUUCUGAAGAUGAUGAUGAUGAUGAAGAAGAACCAUUUAUUUCUCUUGGAGAUGAGAAUGAAGACGAUUGUUUUGGAAUCUUAUCUCCAUUAAAGCAUUGUAAAUAAUUGCAAUUUAUUUAAAAAAAAAAAGAAGAGUAAAUACUUAUUUUGUUCGUAUUUUUUGCACAGUCAGGUGGUCCCAUGGACACAAGUGAGAGCGCACAUGUCUCUUCACCCGAAUUUAUUUAAAGUUUGUAAAAUUAGAAAACACUGUAUGCUCCAAAGACUACUGUUUCAAGCAGCUCCGCUCCCGCUACAGUUCAAAGCCACUGCUCCACCACUGUUUAAAGUCUCAUUGUAUAUAAAAACCCGGAGGAAGACUUAGACUCCACAGGUUUUUCAUUUUAGAGAUUUCAAAGCUUCUCUCUAGCUUCUCUCUCUCUCUCUUCUCUCUCUCUCUCGAGACAAAAGAAGUUUUCUGUAUUCAAGGAAUUUUCUAUAAUCGGUUAAGUUCCUUGUUUUCAGAAUCUUUCUGGAAUCUCUCUUGUAAUCUCUUAAAGCUGUUAGAUCAAAAGCAUUAAAGCAAAACAUGUAUGUUUAAUUUUCGGAUGUAAUUUAAAUUUCUGCAAUUUAUUUUAAAGCAAUUUAAUUUAUGCAAUUUCAUUUAUGUAAUUUAAAUUUCAGCAAUUUACUUUAAAGCAUUUUCUUUUCAAAGCAUGAUAGCAGACUGAUCUGUAUCAGAUCUACCAUACAAAUUGUACAUUCCUCUGAGGCAACGAGACCAGAUCUCAAUCCUCAGUUGUAUUCUUUCUCUUCUCCCUCCUUUCCUUCAGAGCACCAUUUCCGGGAACCGGAUCUGGUACUGUGUAUGCACCCAAGCCUUUAGUUGUAUGUUGUUGCUAGGCUUGAUUAAAGAACUUAACAAUUAUUUGGUAAAUAAAUCUGGUAUAUAGGCUGGAAACUAGAACGUGCGGAAUAUUGAUCUGUUCUAAGUCAGAUUUGGUUCCAAAGGCAGACCUAGCUCUGCAUCGAUCUAGAUACAACGCCACGUACCUUUAUUAAAAUCUGACCAACCACGAUCUAAAGCAAUUAUAAUUUAAAGCUGGUAAUUUGUUUUAAAAUUUGGACAAAGCCGAUCCAUUACAAGCAUUGUUUAAUUUGAAGUUUUUAAUUAUUGAUUCCAACGAAAGCACAUCCAUCCUUCGAUCCUAUUUCCUUUUGGUAUAUAUAUAUAUAUAUAUAUAUAUUGCGAAUUCACGGAUUUCCGCGGAUUUAUAGAAGUAAAUCCAUAUCCAAUCCAUCGACUGCAUAUUUUAAAAUUUUUAAUCCAUAUCCAAUCCAUUAAUCCACGGAUCGGAUUUAUACGGAUCAGAUUGAGCGAAUCAGACAAAUUAAGCGGAUCGAAUUGGAUUCUGCACACCCCUACCUGGAAGUCAUUAUUCCAAAGCAACAUAAUUUAUAUGUGUAAUUUCAUGCUUAGUACAUCUUUCUCCAGUUAAAUCAAUCAGCAAAAUGUCACAAUCCUCCAUUGAAUAUCAUAGAACUACAUAACGCAUGAUCAUGAGCAAAUCUAGUCAUACCAUGACCAAUAUCAGUACUAAACUAAAAAUUAAAUCAUCUGAAAAAUUGCAACAUAAAACCAGGAUAAUUAGAGUGCUCAUCAAAUAACCCAAAUUGUAGCUUCCCUAAUCAAACAAACAUAAUAAAAAAUUUUGAAAUACAAUUUUUUUAAUCAAAGAUGCACAUUGACACCAGAUAAAAUUGAGCAGAGAAGCUAAUGCUGCCCUACAAGUUAAUAUGGUCCUCCUUUAGCAAGGUUCAAAUAGGAAGGACCAUAGUAAAAAUAAGAGGAAAUAAUUUACUUAAUCUACAAAUCCUAUAAUGUAGUUGCAAGUAGAAUAACUCCAAUCUGAAACAUCAAAUGUAUAAGAUUCUCAAGGCAAAAGCGGCUUUAGCUAUUAAAAUUUCGCAUUCUCAUGCUUUAAUAGCUCAAAUCCACUUUAGCUUGAUCAGCAACUUAUUCCAAAAUGCACAGCUUCACCAUAUUAUGGUAGAUCAUACCUUUAAAGAACCCUUGACUGAACCCCGGCCUAUAAUGAACACCCUACAUUCUGUCACGGCUUCAACUCUUUUGAGGAAGUUCCCACGCGGUCCCAAAAUUCGGCCAUGAGAUAUUAAAUACAUGAAUACCCUUUAAAUCGAAAAGGAAAGUUUAAACUUACAUUUGGAUAUUUAUCCACAGGAACAUCAAGUCUAACCUCUUUACAACAAGUGUGGUUGGAAUUCCAGGAAUACCUUGUCACCCAUUGAAGGAGUUUGAAAAGGGGCCAUUUUUUGAAUAUGCCCAUUUUCCUGAAUCAAGGCAUGUAAUGGUAUAAGAAUUCCUUUCUUUUAUACUUCAAAACUUAUCAUCAAAUCCAAAACAGCACAUGAAGCUCAGACUUGAUGAAAUAAUCAAAAGCCCUCUAAAAGGUGAUGUGCAAGAGCCAAAACCGAAAGCUCAGUCAUUUAAACCAUAGCAUUCAGCUAUGAGCAAUAAUAACUUGAUCUUAAACAUGGAUGUAACACAAAUUUAUCUUCAUCUGACAGCUAGACAUACGAACUGUAGACCGUAUUGGUAGGAGCUUAACAUACAAGGCAAGUUCAAAGAACAUUUUUCUUUUAUACCCAAAAAAGAAAUUGCUAAACUAGAAGAUACUCACAGUUGAUUAGAGAAUGAGUACAUCAAUUUAGUGUGACAAUUUAUUUUAGGUAUACCAUAUGAUUCCAACCUUUGUUACACUAAAAGAUGGUCAUCCCAUCAUUAAUAGAAACAUAACAAUUAGAAGAAAAGCAUACAUUCAGAAUUCCAAGAAAUUACAAUAUAAAAUUUUCUGGCAUUAAUUUCACAAUUACAGGAUAAAAAAUACAUGGCACGUAUAAAACCAUGAACAACCAUUAUUAGCUCAGUUUGCAUUGUAGACAAACCCUACAAAUCCAUUGGUCUCCUGUUUGGCUGAACUAAUGACCUAAAUGGACUGUCACGGUCAAACCUUUCAUGAUCAACAAAACUUGGAUUCAAACCUUUCAUGGUCAGCAAAACUUGGAUUGUAACCUGUUAUUUGUCUGAUUAGGUAUACCAUGUAAUAUAUUCAACGUAAUCCAGGUAAUAACUAAUCGUUUUACAAAUGUCAAUGACAAAUAAAGAUCCUAAUUUUUUCAAAAACUGCAUAGGCAGCGCUCAUGCCGCCACACGAGGCCUCAUAGUCCAGGUAAUUGCUCAUGCUGUUGCCUGCCAAAGAACCAUGAAGAGGGCAAACUGCAAGGAACCUUUGCCAGGUUGGUUAGGAAGGGCUUCAAUAGAGUGACAUCUCAGUAGCUCAAUUCAUGUACCCCUAGCUGUACAUGUAAGAAGAAAUGCUCUUCCAAAUAACAUAUUGAUACCAGAUCUACUAUUGUUUCUUCAGAACUUGUUAGGAAAGGUUACUAGCAGAUAAGUUAGAUGCAUAUACAUACUGCUAAAGGAAAUUGAACAGCUCCUUACAUAAUUGGUGUAACUUCUUAUACAAACAAGAUCCCUUCCCGGCAAUAGAUAGACAUCAAUAUUCAGAUACUCAAGAAAUUAUAAGGGUGUUGAAUGUUAGAAACUUUACUUCCUCCCAACGUAAGCUCCCAGUUUAGACAGAUCAGGAUUCCAAAAUGAUAGCUCAGAUGAUCCGAUACAAACAUGAGACUUCCAGGGGCCCAUUUUAUGACAGGAGGCUCUGUAUGAAAACUCAUCCAACUUGCAACCCUGACAAGAAAAAUAAACAAAAACAAACAAUGUUUAUAUAAUAACAAUACCAACGUCAAAAGAAUAUAGUAUUUGGAUAUAGAACUCAUUACGCAAACUGGUGCUCAAGGUACUUGCUCAAAUGUAGAAUCAAAAGCAUUGUUGGUUUGCCCAGAAGACUGUGAAUACUAUGACUGGGUCAGUGUAGGGGAAAUAACAUCCCUUUGAAUUCUAAGCAUUCAAAAGGCACGAGAAUCAAGGAAUUUUGCUUAUCAAACCUCUUUCCCGCUCCUUGCACUCCAAGCAUAUACACUACCAUCACCAGAACCUUCCAAAACCCAAGAAAGUAAAAUUAGCACAGAGAGUGCAACUAAUGAGAGGUGCUUGGCCACACUAGGUAGGUUGCUUCCGCAUGUGUGGGUGCACUCACUAUGUCAGCAUUUCAUUGAUUUAUUUUCAUUAACAAGCAAGUCAAUGGAAAAAGAGAACAUAAAUUCAUUGCAAAGAACUCUGUGGAAACAAGCUUGAUGCCCAACAUUUCAAGUCAUGUAUUUCAAAUACCAACAAGGUGGUAACAAAAUUGAUAAUUAUAUACAGCACAAGUGCAAGAACCUUAAUAAACAGCCAAAAGCAAAUAUUAAUAAAUUAUGCAAGUCACUGUGCCCUAAGAACUGAAAGGAGAAACUCUACCUGGCUGAAAGAUGCCUCCAAUGUGGAAUUGCGAGAAACUGGCUUCGCAUUAUAAAUGGAUAAAUAAAAACAACAGCAAACAGAAGCUCAUUAACAGAGAUUCCAAUGUAUAGAGGGAUAUAUAUGUACAAUAUGUUACAUUUGGGAGAUGAAGAAAGAAAAAGUAAACUCACAAGUGUGCCUUGGAAUGAGUGGAGCACAUGAAUAUGUCCUUCCAUAGUGGUCAGAAGCAUGUCUCCCAUCAUUGCUGAGCUUUACCUCAUUAGCAUCUGAUACAUCUCCACCAUCAGAGAAGAUGUCGAAAGGACCCUAAGAGUAUUCAAAUUUAACCAAAUUAGUGCAUGAUAAAAGUACUACGACAUAUAAACUUCCAAGAUAUUCUUAAAUAUUAAUUUUGACCUCAUACUUGCGAGCAUCAAACAAUCUUAUGUAUCCUCCAAAGGCAACUGCAAAGGCACGCCCUUGAUCAUUGUAUGCUGUAGCAGGCCUUCCUUGAACAUGCAAGAGACCCUGAUUUGCCAACAGAGAUCAUAAAUACAAUUGAAAAUGGGGGAAAAAACAGUUUGGAUGUGACCAUGCAUGGCAUGAUAUCCACCUGGCAUUUCUCAGCCUGUUGAUCCCAGAGCAGAACAGUUCGAUCAAGAGAACCAGAGAUAAAGCAAUCUUUGGAGGAGCACAGGCUUAGUGAAACAACCCUAGAAGCAGUAAAACAUAUAUAUAGAUAAUAAUGAUUACAAAACAUUUACAAGAAUCAGCGAAUUACAAACCUGUCACGAUGACCUUUGAAGUAAUGCAUGAACUUGUUAUCGUGCAAAGAAAGAAGCCGUAGAGAUUCUGAAUAAAUGAACAUAUCAAAUAAGUGCCUAGUAAAGCAAUCCACCAACAUGCAAAACACAAAUAUUCCGAUAAACAUACCAUCCCAACCAUUCUUGAGGAAUAUAUGAAAUGUAAGUUAGGGAUUGCCAAGAAAAAAACUUUGAUCAAUUUCCAGCUGAGAAUAUUUAUGCCAACUCUUGCCGCAAUCACAUCUGCAAUAGUUCCCACUGUUGGAUACACUGCCUUAUAAACAGCAAUUCUGACAGAAAAAAAACGGGGGUUAAAGUUAUAAGUACAAUCAAUUAGGUGGUAGCCAUGCAAUAUGAAUGUGCUUGGUUUGCUGCCUAAUAGCUAGGCAUACAUAUCUAUAUAUAUAUAUAGGCAUUCAUUAAUAUCGAAUUAUUUUUAACAUUCAAAUAAGUUAGAAAAAACAUAGAAAAACUUACCGGGCACAUGGCGCCAUCCCACUGGCUAGCCCAUAAAAGAAGCCAUCGACGACCACCGGAACACCAGCGUUUCCAGCAGCAGUUGAUGCUACAUGGCUAAUGUGUACACACACAUGUUCAUCUCUCAAUAUCAGUGUGUGCAAUAAGUGAAAAGAUAUAUAAAUUAGAUUGAAAGCACAAGUAAAUAAACAUGAAUGAAUACCUGCCAUGUCCAACAGCAUGAAAGGGCGAAAGAAAGUCCACAGAAGUGUUAAGAAUAUAUGAAAUGUAUAUUCUUGAGGAAAUUACAACAAUUUCCUCUCAAUUUCACAAUUAUUUGCGCUUGAAUGACAGAAUGAGCUUUGAUCAUUAAUUAAUUUAUCCAUGCAUGAAAUUAUAGUAGAUAUGAAAUUACGUGGACAAAAAAUUAUUUUUUUUUACCUUUUUUUACCAACACCGAUAUGCUCACACCAUUUAGAACCACAGUUAGCACAAAACGAUUCGUUUUGUGCUAACUAUAAAAGAAGUUACUGUAGCUUCAAAACACACGCACUCGUCUUGCUCAGACGCAAGCGCAGACCACACACGCACUCGUCUUACUGAAACGCAAACGCUGAGGAGGCAGAGACUCGCCGUGGAAAGUUUGUUUGACAUAAGUUGUCUGACGAUUUUGCCCUUGAAAUGAAGAUUACGCCUCAUGACUUAAAAUCGCUUGGGUUGUGUUUCUGUUUCUGCGUUUGUUCUUCCUCUUCGCUUUCGGCAAGUGAAAUAAAUGAAUAAACAUUAGAUGGAGUUUUAUUCAAUAUUUAAAAUUUUGUUAAUUUGUAACGUGAUUGGAAUUUUAAUUAUUAUAAGAAAUAAGUUCUGGAUCGGAUUUUAAAAUACUUUAUUUGAAUACUCUAAAAAAUGCAGUAUGUUCACAAACUGUAAUUGCCGAUAUAAUUCCCCAGAACCCCAAUUCCAGAUUACUUAAAUCACGGCGGGGGCUGCGGUAUGUUCACAAGGUAAAAAAUGCAGUACGUUCACCAUUCCAAGUAUAACCCUUUUGACACAGUUCGCCUUCUAUUUCAAAGUUCAUACAUUUUCAAAAUUAUUAAACUAAAAUCAGCCAGAACCAAUUUUUUUUCCUUUUCAACUUCUAUUAAAAUUUCACUAUAAUUUAAAUAAAAUAAAUUAAAAAUCCAGCCCAAAAAACGAUUGCUGCAAUACUGAGUGGCAAAACUUAAUUGCUAUCGUUACCGCAAAAUUCAACACCCAACAACCAAAAUUUCAAUUUCAAAUCUAACCUUAAAUCCACCAACUGAAAACAAAUCCACACGAAAUGCGACAUCAAAUGAAAGGAACAAGAAGUCAAAAUCAAAACCGAUGAAACCUUUAUUAGAGAGAAGAAAGAAAGCUUCGUUGUAUAAAGAGAAUGCGCGCGAUCGAAGGCUGUGCUGUAUAGAAAUAAAACAGCGAUCGAAGAAAGCGUCUUCGCUAUCGUUGUAUAGAGAGAACAGAGCGAUCGAAGACUGUGUCUUCACGAUGGGAGGCUGUGUUGAACAGAACGAUCAAAGACAGCGUCUUCAAGAGAGAGCAUAGAGCGAUCGAAGACUGCGUAUUCACGAUCAGAGGCUGUGUUGAACAGAAGGAUUGAAUGCUGUGCUGUAUAGAGAGAUCGAGGAGUAGAGAGAAGAUACCGGCGAUGACGCAAGAGCAAAGGCUCUGAAUUUAUAGGGGAGGGAUUAGCGCAACUUGACGGCCGUUAUGACCGUAAACGCCUCUGUUAGAUUUAACGGAGAAGUCACGGGGUUACCCGAUGGUCAUCAGCAUCUGGGAAUCUCAUCAGUUUAAUUAGUUAAAAAGAAUUAA
rnacentral:lncRNA from 1 species